AAUAAUAUCACACCCGAACAUGCCCAGCCUACUUCAUCAUCCCAAACUUGCGGAGGUAGUACUCGUGCUCAUCAUCCGAGUCGGACGACUCAUCGCCGGUGCGUUCCCCAGGGAGGUAGACCCGGUACUUCUGGUCAGGGAAGCGAGCCUUCUCCUCCUCCAUAAAGAUAUCCCACCGCGCCACAAUCCUGGCCAUGAUUGUGUCAUUGUCUUCUUCGGCGUCCGAGUCGUGGUACACCUUGUCGUACGGCACAUCGUCCUCGUCCGAGCCACAGCAGCAGGCCUUGAAGACCCCCGCCUCCGCCUUGGCCUUGCGGACCGCCGCCUCCGCCUCCGCCUUGGCCUUGGCCUUGUGGACCACCUCCUGCUGCUUGUCCGCCUUGGACUUGGCCAUGGCCUUGGCCUUGAGGAUCGCCGCGUCCGGCUCCUUCCUGACCAUGAAGAACGCCUCCUCCUCUCCUGGUGGGUUAGGGUUUUGUGGAUUUGGGAUUUCUCUGUCUCUCUCUCGCUGGACAACGGGAGGAAGAGGAGGCCGCGGCUGGCGUAUGUAUGUCCAGGCGAACAACCCAGGAGCCGCCUCGGGUCGGACUCGGCUCUCGUCUCCGGACUGGCCUCUUUCAUCGUACUCGUUCAUUGGGCCCCCAUCAUUUCUUUCUUUCUUUCUACUAGCUUGUUGCGUAAUCUUCUCAAAGAAAAAAAAUCUACUGUUACUCAAAAAAAAAUCUACUACCGCUCAAAAACAAAAAAAACGGAAAUGUUAACGCCCACACGUGUGGCAUGGCGUCAACUCGACCACACGCGCUUAUCGCCGUCCACUGCAUUUCACACCAAUCUUGACACGAUGCUGGGAUUCCGGACUGCCACGUAGGACUAGCGAAGUAUGUGGCGUGUAUGCCACUUCGCCCGCACGCUGUUUUGCCCCGACGACGACGGUUUUCAUAGUCAGCGCGUGCGGUGGAACUGCCAUCUCGCCCGCACACGAUCUCGAACGCGUGGUUGCCAUAUUGCACGACUUGCCACUCACCCCUCCCCGCACUGGUGAUCUCUCGCUCCCUCCCCAUUUACUCCCCAACCCACCCAUUCUAUAGUGGUUCCAAUCGAUUCGGGAGGAGUCGAGAGGAGAAGGCGGCGGCGGUGGCGGAGUAGUCGACGACAUUCGCGGCGGUUGUUGGGAUUCGCCGGCCGGGGACGUCGUCGCCGGAGCAGCUGCAGGCCGAAGGUAAGCCUUCCGCCGUGGUCACACCCAUUCCCCCGCGAUUCAUAUCCCCUUUCUGUGCUUGCUCGAUUUCCCAUCGGGAUUUCUCGAGAUCCCGGCGUUUUUCGCGGUGCGCAUGUGUUGCCGCCGGCGAAGAGUCGGUUGUUUUGCUCACCCCUCCCCGCACGGUAGCUUGUUAUGGUCUCGUCGCCGUCUCUCUCGCCGUCAAGCCGGCGAGACUCGUCGAAUCCCCAACCGCAUGUGCUCUCGCAACUGCUUUUUUGGGAUGGCGAUGUUGAUGCUGUUUAGUUCAUUAUGUUGCUCCUGAAAUGCUAUUGCCGUCAGUGUCGAGGCGUUUGUGUUGAUGAAAUUGAUAUUAUGCUAGUUGUGGACGAACCCUAGAUCUAUUUCAGGCGCAUUCCAGAGUUUUGAGAAUGAUUGCCAUGACAAUUUGAAACAACUGCCACCACUGAUGGCAACUGAUUUCUGAAAUUACCAUGUCAGUUGCCUUGUCAGUGGUGCAUUUUAGGCGCGUAUCAGAUUGUAUGCGAAUGAAAGUCAAGUCAAUUUCAAUAUCUACCACCUCUGAUGGCAACUAAUUUUUGAAACAACUUUUUUAGUUGCCAUGUAAUUGGUACGACAAUGUUACUGUUUGGUUUUGUUUGAAUCUACUUUUUAGGUGCAUUUCACAUUGUUUGAGAAUGAUUGUCAUGGCAAUUUCAACAACUACCACCACUGAUGGCAACUGAUUUUUGAAUCAGCUGAGUCAGUUGCCAUGUAGUGGUGCAUCUUAGGCACAUUUUCAGAGUGUUUGAGAAUGAAAGUCAUGCGAAUUUCAUCAACUACCACAUCUAAUGGCAAUUAAUUUCUGAAACAAAUGUGUCAGUUGCCAUGUCAGUGGUACAGUAAUGUUACUGUUUUGGUUUUUGUUGGAUACCGUUUUACGUGCAUUUCAAAUUGUUUGAGAAUGAUUGUCAUGGGAAUUUUAACAACUGCCACCACUAAUGGCAACUGAUUUUUGAAUCAAUUGAGUCAGUUGCCAUGUCAAUGGUGCAUCUUAAGCACAUUUUCAGAGUGUUUGAGAAUGAAAGUCAUGCGAAUUUCAUCAACUACCACAUCUAAUGGCAAUUAAUUUUUGAAACAAAUGUGUCAGUUGCCAUGUCAGUGGUACAGUAAUGUUACAGUUUUGGUUUUUGUUGGAUACUGUUUUUAUGUGCAUUUCAAAUUGUUUGAGAAUGAUUGUCAUGGCAAUUUUAACAACUGCCACCACUGAUGGCAACUGAUUUUUGAAUCAAUUGAGUCAGUUGCCAUGUCAGUGGUGCAUCUUAGGCACAUUUUCAGAGUGUUUGAGAAUGAAAGUCAUGUGAAUUUCAUCAACUACCACAUCUGAUGGCAAUUAAUUUCUGAAACAAAUGUGUCAGUUGCCAUGUCAGUGGUAUAGUAAUGUUACUGUUUGGUUUUUGUUGGAUACCGUUUUUAGGUGCAUUUUCAAAGUGUUUGAGGAUGAUUGUCAUGGCAAUUUUAACAACUGCCACCACUGAUGGCAACUGAUUUUUGAAUCAAUUGAGUCAGUUGCCAUGUCAGUGGUGCAUCUUAGGCACAUUUUCAGUGUUUGAGAAUGAAAGUCAUGUGAAUUUCAUCCACUACCACAUAUGAUGGCAAUUAAUUUCUGAAACAAAUGUGUCAGUUGCCAUGUCAGUGGUACAGUAAUGUUACUGUUUGGUUUUUGUUGGAUACCGUUCUUAGGUGCAUUUUCAAAGUGUUUGAGGAUGAUUGUCAUGGCAAUUUUAACAACUGCCACCACUGAUGGCAACUGAUUUUUGAAUCAAUUGAGUCAGUUGCCAUGUCAGUGGUGCAUCUUAGGCACAUUUUCAGAGUGUUUGAGAAUGAAAGUCAUGUGAAUUUCAUCCACUACCACAUCUGAUGGCAAUUAAUUUCUGAAACAAAUGUGUCAGUUGCCAUGUCAGUGGUAUAGUAAUGUUACUGUUUGGUUUUUGUUGGAUACCGUUUUUAGGUGCAUUUUCAAAGUGUUUGAGGAUGAUUGUCAUGGCAAUUUUAACAACCGCCACCACUGAUGGCAACUGAUUUUUGAAUCAAUUGAGUCAGUUGCCAUGUCAGUGGUGCAUCUUAGGCACAUUUUCAGAGUGUUUGAGAAUGAAAGUCAUGUGAAUUUCAUCAACUACCACAUCUGAUGGCAAUUAAUUUCUGAAACAAAUGUGUCAGUUGCCAUGUCAGUGGUACAGUAAUGUUACUAUUUGGUUUUUGUUGGAUACCGUUUUUAGGUGCAUUUUCAAAGUGUUUGAGGAUGAUUGUCAUGGCAAUUUUAACAACGGCCACCACUGAUGGCAACUGAUUUUUGAAUCAAUUGAGUCAGUUGCCAUGUCAGAUGGAGUGCCUUUUAUCUGCCACAACUAGUUGUUAUGUUAACAUGGCAACAUGAAUCUAGCAUAUGUCUGCCCCUAUUUUUGAAGUACCCUUUAGUUAACUGCCACCAUUGAUGGCAACAUGAAUCUAGCUGCAUUGCAGUUUGACACUUGCAGACGACAACUGAAUCAUUUAAGAAGCAGAGACAUGUGUUGUUGCCAUGUAUCUGCAUUUUUCUACUCUCCCACUUUGGCUACAUUUCUGUCUUUUUAAUACGUGUUGCUCCAUUUGAUGUGUGUUUUUUGUUGCUACUGUAGCACAAUGGCUCGCGGCGACCAUCAGGACGAUGACGAUGACUUCAUGGAGGUACCGCCACGGAAUCGUGCGACCGGUCGGUCAAAAGCUGGUGAUGAGGUCACCCCUCAUAGGUGUGCUUGUCGUAGUCGCUUCAACGAUUGCCAGCCCCGACACUAAUUCUUCAUUGUUUGUGGCAUCAUCGACGACCUGCUGUUGUGAUGUCCCUUCCGUGUGCUCAAAGGUACCCGCAUGAGAUGCCCCCGCCCUGCCGUUUAGUGUAGUUGGAGGUCCUGCAGAAAAAAAGAAAAAAAGGCAUGCAUUUAAUCUUCGUUUGAAUGGCAGUUUUGUUUCAUAACCAAAAAAACCAUCUGCAUCCGAUUUCUGGCAUGACAUCAAUCAUAGUGUGCAAAAUAAUCCGGUUUGUUCACAUUUGGCACCCAAAAUUUUUUCUAUACAUGUCAACGACAAUUUUUAUUAUGCAUGGCAACCAUAGUUGAUAGUACAUGGCAACCAUAGUUGAUUGUCCAUGGCAAAUGCAGUUGAUAAUACAUGGCAACUGCAGUUGAUUAUCCAUGGCUAUUGUAGUUCAUCAGACAUGGCAACCACAGUACAUCAGACAUGGCAACCACAGUUGAUCACACAUGGCAACCACAGUUGAUCACACAUGGCAAAUGCAUUUCACUACACAUGGCAAAUGCAUUCAUAUCAUACAUGACAAACUACACUUUUUGCGAAUACAACACACAAGCAGCAAUGUCACAUAUAAUUCCUCUGAUGUUGCAUUGUCAACAGAAUCACUUCAUACUACUCACCUGUGUUUGACAUCGAUGGCAGGUACCCGAUUCCUGACGGUUGCCACGUGCUACAUGACGGUCCUGCGUUUUCCACCAUAAAACUUGUAAGUAUUUUCCAUCUCUUCAAGUCUUUUUUUUCAUCUUUUUGGCAAAAGUUGAAUGGUUUUAUUGAUACGUGUUAUCUUGAUUUGCCACAUUGGCUACUUGAAAUUGGUCGAACGUACAUCCAUCAGCCCCGUGUUUGAACUUGCCAAGUCACCCCUGAGUUUGACCCUACGAAAAAGUAACAUGGUAGGACAUAAGUACAAUACCAUUCCCCCACGCCCCCCUCCCCCCAUAACAUGGCAAUUGUCCCUUUUUUUGAUCAUUUACCAUACCCAUGCUCACAUACUGCUCUAAAAGUGGCAGCAACGGUCCCGCAGAAAUGAGUUGAUUGUACUCUGAUGCAUCCCAAGGUUGCAUUGUCGGGUUUUGAGAAAACCAAUGAUCUGCGCCAUCUUUCUGAUUCAUUCUUCCGCCUCUUUUCCCAUUGUGUUUUUCAUUCACUGCACAAACAAGAGACACAUGAAACUGCAUUUUCUGCUGAUUUUUUUGUACAUACAAGCAAAACACGGCAAUCCCAUCACAAUUAUUGCGUAGACAACCAAUUACAUGAAUGGCAAAUAUGAUAUGCACGUUUGUUAUCCCAUUUUCUAAAAUCUGGAUGCGAAGUGUCGUUUUUGAACUGAUGGCGAUGAGCAACACAGUAAGAUGGCAACUGAUAAACACCAUGGUGACCACUAACUGCAAAGACAGGCGGCAACCAACGUAAAAAUUGAAUGGCAACUAGUUCUCUCUAUUCCGAUUGCCACCCAAAUCCACCCCAUCCAUUCCUUCCAUGCUUCUAGUGAACACUAGAUCCGUGUGGCAAUUGCCAUGUAGUUGUGAAUGUAGUUGCCCGCUUCGUGGGCAAUCAGAAAGUUCAAUUAGUAGGGGUGGAAAUAGGACCAGAAAGACGAUGAGAUCGGAGAUCGACCUGCUCCUUUUUUGUCUGUCGCCGCGGGCUCGUCGNNNNNNNNNNNNNNNNNNNNNNNNNNNNNNNNNNNNNNNNNNNNNNNNNNNNNNNNNNNNNNNNNNNNNNNNNNNNNNNNNNNNNNNNNNNNNNNNNNNNNNNNNNNNNNNNNNNNNNNNNNNNNNNNNNNNNNNNNNNNNNNNNNNNNNNNNNNNNNNNNNNNNNNNNNNNNNNNNNNNNNNNNNNNNNNNNNNNNNNNNNNNNNNNNNNNNNNNNNNNNNNNNNNNNNNNNNNNNNNNNNNNNNNNNNNNNNNNNNNNNNNNNNNNNNNNNNNNNNNNNNNNNNNNNNNNNNNNNNNNNNNNNNNGGAGGGGGGUGGGUGCCGCUACAGAUCUAGUCUGGUUGCCAUGGCAACCAGAGAAGGCACGCGAUGGGAUCAGGAGGUAGGAGACGAUGUAGAUCUGAUGCGAUAGGGUUCGUCGAUAGGUCGCGGCGUCGAGCACGCGUUCGGGUUGUGCAGGCAGCGGGAUGGGUCGCCCGGACGUGUGGGCGUUCGCGCCACACAGCGGACGUGCGGGUCGUGGCUCGUGCACCCGGACGCCGUCGUGCGGGCGGAUUAGUCCCCGCACCGAACAGGACGUGCGGGCCGACCAACCUAACUGCCACACGUGUGGCAGUUAUCGGGGUCCAAAAAAAACUACUAGCAUUUGUCUAUUUUUUUUCUUUUUGCGAAACUACUUUGAGUCUAUUCAUCUUCAAUCAUGAUAGUACAAUGAACAUCAGAAAUAAUAAAAUUACAUCCAGAUCCGUAGACCACCUAGCGACGACUACAAGCACUGAAGUGAGCCAAAGGUGCACCGCCGUCAUUGCUCCUCCCUCGUUGGAGUUGGGCAAAACCGUUGAUUUGAUUGGAUUUUGAACCAGAAGAAAAAAAAGUCCAGCCAAAUAAACGGUUUUGACCGACUCCGAUGAGGGAGUAUUUCCAAUGGUUUAUAUUCAAAUACAUUGCAAAAAAGGAUAUUUAAGAGCAUUAGACGUUUGUGGAUUUUUAAGAAAAGUUCAUGAAUUUGGGAAAAAGAUCCCAGAUUUUUAAUAUGUUUGUCAAUUAAAAAAGCAAAUUUUAAACUGUUGCAAGCUAAAAAAACGAAUUUCAAAAAAUCACGUGACUUAAAAAAUAUAUUCAUAAAAUUAUUUUAAAAAGAGGGGGGGGGGGGGUUGGAAGGUGUCAUAGUGCACCUUGGUCACAAUAUAUAAAUGGGAGGGGAAAGGAUUGACCUAGGCAGCAGAAAUCAUCCACGCUUCGACAGAGCCGAUGGCUGGGAUUGCGAGCUCGAUUUCGUCGCGGUUACUGCACGACCCGUGACACACGGACAUGAAUGGAAUAGUCAUGUUAUUGUGAUCACGUUGGUACAGAUAAUGUCCUUUUAGGUGAGAAAAUAGUUAAAAGGAGAGCUCCAGAAUUUAUAUUGUUGCCACAUAUGUUUUGAGGGUCCCGCUAGGCCCUUCCCCCGCGCCGCCCCGCUAGGGCGACGCGGGGGCGAUCUCACGCCGCCGCCGCUAGGCUUCCCCGCGUCCCCUCCAUUCUUCGCCUCUGCCAGAGGCUGGCGCCUGGGCAGGCCUUGGACGCAGCCAAGGAAGGUGGCGGCGGGGGAGCUUCUCGCGCUCGAGCAGGCGCCUGGAUCGGAUCCGCCUGAUCCGGCCGGCCGUUCGGAGGAGCUUGCCUCUGCGCGGUCAGCCGGUGCGGCGAUCCAGGGUAAGCCCAUGGAUCGGAUGCCUGGUCUGGAUCGAGACGCCUUGUAGCCUUUGUCCCCUUCUAGGUGUGCUUCUCCGUACAGAUCUGGGUCGCAAGACUUGCCGAUCCUGGAUGCAGACGGAACUGGAGGUGACGAUUUGGAUCGGGAGAAAUCCCUAGUCAACCUUUCGGCGGCGGUGGCGCCGCCCGACGGCGCCCCUUUCUUCUCCAUGGAGACGCUCAUCAGAUCUGCUUCUACUUCCACCACGUCAUUUGUCUCCCGAUGAAAGCCCUAACUACGGUGGGUGGCGACGGCGCCUUCGGCGUCGUUCCCUUCUUGAAGGCGCCGCCUUGGGAGCUGUGUGACUACGGACACCGUUAGGUGGGCGUUGGCGGCGAUCUGGAUUAGGAGGUGGAGCGGUGUUUCACCAUACGCAUCGACGCCGACGGAUCUCGACAACGUGGCGCAGUGGAGUCCCAGCGUCCGAUGCGGGUUGGCAGACUCGUGCAGGAGGACGAUGUUGUCUGGCGUCGUGGUGGCGUCGAUGGCAAAGAGGCAUGGCAAGGUCGGUGCAUCAGUUCUGCUCUAAGGAUGGAUAGAUGGAAGAUGGAGGUGACGGCCCUUGCAGCGUGCGGUGCUCACUGGGAGUGUGCCGGACCGGUGUGUGACCCAGUCCAGGUAGUGGCUUGGAUGUGGCAUCCGGCUUUAGAUGUUAGGUUUUGGUGCGAUGUCUAUUUGGUAUUAGGCCCGGACCUUCGACACACCUUCAUCAAGGAGAUAGGAGUAGCAACAGAAGUUACCAAGAUGAUGGCUUCAGGCUUAUUGAUGUAUCAUCUUGUAUGUCUUUGUGAAUAAUUAGGCUGCAUGCAUCGUCCAGAUGCAGAGGCCGGGGUACAUCCUCCUUUUCUAAAAAAAAGAUAAACAACUCUAUUGAUCAACAAAGGAGGAAAGAAGGACGUGGCAUGGCGCCUGAUGUGCCACUGUCAGGCAGUUUCCUGAGGAAGAAGACGACCUGGCUGAGGUGCUUCUGGUGCUAGGGAUAAACUUAGCAUUUCACAUGCCAUUUAACAUCGUUUUCUCACAAAAUGGACGGAAGUGUUGUACUGGGAACAAAAUUUAGAGUCGGUGUCAAACAAAGCGAAACGAUUCUUUCGCGAUCGCGCGUUGCAACGAUCGAUCUACUGGGCGCUGUUAAAAGGGGCAGGGGGCCUACCAAGUGUGCACGCACCAUCAAAACACUGCCCCCGUGAUUUCAGGUGAUGGGGCCAGCCGUGCUCUUCCAUAUUUUAUCCCCCCCUGAAUUCAACAGUGGGCCCGAGGUGUUUAGUUCCUGUUCUUUUUUUUUUGACAACUGCGUUUAGUAUCCUGUUCGCUAGACUAAGGAAGGAAAGUUUAGUUCCUGUCCGAAAUCGAUCGUUGUNNNNNNNNNNNNNNNNNNNNNNNNNNNNNNNNNNNNNNNNNNNNNNNNNNNNNNNNNNNNNNNNNNNNNNNNNNNNNNNNNNNNNNNNNNNNNNNNNNNNNNNNNNNNNNNNNNNNNNNNNNNNNNNNNNNNNNNNNNNNNNNNNNNNNNNNNNNNNNNNNNNNNNNNNNNNNNNNNNNNNNNNNNNNNNNNNNNNNNNNNNNNNNNNNNNNNNNNNNNNNNNNNNNNNNNNNNNNNNNNNNNNNNNNNNNNNNNNNNNNNNNNNNNNNNNNNNNNNNNNNNNNNNNNNNNNNNNNNNNNNNNNNNNNNNNNNNNNNNNNNNNNNNNNNNNNNNNNNNNNNNNNNNNNNCGUGCACACUUGGUGGGGCCCCUGCCCUUUUAACAGUGCCCAGUAGAUCGAUCGUUGCAACACGAUCCCGAAAGAGUCGUUUCCCAAACAAAGAAGUGAAAUUUCACACAACUAGUAAAUGCGUAUGUGGAAUGCACGUUGAUGUUUGGUGAAAUAUUAAUUGCACACUGAUAUCAGGUAAAAUAUUAAUUGUGUGUUAGUUACAAGAGUAUGAGUAGUGCUAAUAUUAAUUUUUGGUAUGAUAUUAAUUGCACGCAAACAUGUUGAGUGUUUGCUAUUGGAGGAAUAUAGAUCAUUGGACAUGGUUUGAUAUUAACCCUUUGGGUCUUUUUAUAUUGGCAUAGAUGUUAAACAAGGAAUUCUUUCUUGUUUUUAUCAGGGACUAGUUUGCGAGAUCAUAGAAGUCUCGUGGCACUACUUGUGCAUCCUUAAACCUCUUACCAUCUGUUUUCGUACCAAAAGGUUAGGGUUGAGGAACCAUUGCCAGGCGCAUAGUUAAUGGUAGAAUGCUUCGCUGAUCGAUACCAUCCACCUCUGACAUUUUGAAUCAUGUUAUCUGGCUGAUGUUCGCUGGGUGGGGGUGGCAUUUGCGAAUGUUUUGAUGGCAGUUUUUUGUUGGUCGAGGGGUCUCAGAAAAUAUCAUGUUGUUCUGAAGAAGCUGCAACCCUCGAUACAACUAAAACUAUCAGGAAAAAUGUUUGAAAUACCAUGCUAUACCAACAAACGUCAGCUCGAUAAGAUUUUCGUAUAUUUUAACCAUAUAGGCGUUGUAGUGUUACUGAUUUUCAUAGUUAAUAGAGCUUUGGUCCGUUUGGUGCCCUAUUCUAUCAUUCGAAAUAGAAGUGUAACGUCAAACCACAAACUCCAACUCCAUAAUCACAGUUGAUAAGGGCAUCUCCAAUAGUUAUAUUUGGCAUGAUGACAAUUGAUAAUGUGGUACAUAUAAACGAGCAAGAAGAACAAGGCUGCAUGUAAAUUAACUAGCGGUCAAUAUGAGCCGCUUUUCUUUCUUCCUCAUGAAGAAAGAAAGAACGAUCUAGCCAGCCGCUAGGUCCUUCCGUCGCCAACCUCCGAUGGCUCCCCUCCACCGAUGACCUCGAUUGUCGAUGGUGAGAGGGCUGCAGAAUCCACGCGUAUGGAUCAUGAAGCUUUGGGUUUUAGGCCCUAAUAGCUUAGGUUUUUGGGUCAAGUGCUCAUAAAGAAGCUUCAAAUCCUUCCCCUACAAGGCGAUGGUCCUAUGGUUGGGGAUGGAUUUGGAAACCAAUUUGUUUAAGUAAGGACGGCGUGGUGACAUUCUCAUAGUGGACUUGUGUCCUCGGACUUCGCCGUUGCGACGACGUUUACUACAAUGGUGGCGUGGAGCUUGGAAGGUAGUCCAAGAGCGGAUGCAGAUUGUGGUCUGCACCAACGGCGUUUGGAAGAUGAUGGAUCGUGUGAUGGGGUUCGUGGUUCGUGGUUGAUAUGUAUGGUUUCCUCCUCUGAUGGCUUAGUCGUGCGAGGGUGCCAGAUCUGGAGUGCGAUAGCGUGUCCGAGUUAUUACCGCGGUCUGAUUCGUUCAACGGCAAUGACUUCACCUUUUGCUGAGCCAUCUUGGAGUUUCGAAAAACUGCAUAUCAGCGAUGAAGCAACGUUGAGCUCGGGUGAAGAGGUGAUCUGUCAUUUUUUUUUCUUUUGUGGCUAUGGUGAUGUUGGAGGCAGGUGACCGGUGUUGUUGUCAAGCUAUGGUGUUCCUUCAGUCUUGAUUGUAAAAAAAAUCUUGGAUGGUAUUUUCUUGUGCAAAGCCUUGCGUUUUGCUGUAUUUUAAGUUUUGCCGAUAUGUUCAUGACUUGUAUUAUGACUUUAUAAUAUAAAUGAGACACAUAUUACCAUGAAAAAAAUAAUCAACGGUCAUCGUACAAGCUCUAAGAUAAGAAUAUAGGGCAAACAUGUUAGUUUUUCUUUUAAAAAAUCAUUGGGCGACUUUAGGGAGACUGUUCCGAUCAUUAUUUUUGACAUUGUUGCGAAGAACAGGGCCAGCAAUUGCGGUCUGCAACUGUACUACAGCUUAUUGGGAUCAAUUUUCCUAAUGGCAUUAUUGCCAAGAUCAAAUCCAGUAAUUCAGGUUUUCACGAACAAGACUACACCAGACUCCGUCGUAAGCACAAUGUUCGCAGUUGGCGUUGGCCUCCACCUAAAGUGUCAUUAGCAUGGGAAGGCGCAGUUAAUGGUGAACGUAAAGUGCAUUGGAUUGUCUGGGAUAAAAGUGUGCAAGAAAGCAUGAGGGUGGCAUGGCUUUUAGGGAUCCCGUGGCAUUCAACCAAGCAUUAUUGGCAAAGCAAGAAUGGCGUAUUCUAAAAGUCCCCUCCUCUCUGUUAACGUGUGUCCUAAAAGCAAGAUAUUUCAGCGAGGGGGGGGAUCAUGAAUGCAAUGUGCCCAGAUGGAGGUUCUUAUACCUUUCGGAGUAUUCUCCAUGGGAGAGACCUCUUUAGGGCCGGCUUGGUGUGGCGAAUUGGAGACAGCUCCAAAAUAAAUAAACAUCAUGAUCAUUGGAUCCCAAGGAGUGGCAGCUUGACACCACUGGGUGCCAAGUAUGUUCCAGGAGUAACGAAGGUCUGUCAUUUGUUAGAUCGCACAGGUACAAGAUGGAAUGUGCAGAGGAUGGACUCGAUGUUCUCACAGGAUGAUGCGUGGGAUAUAAAACAGAUUACAUUGGAGGACAAGGUACUGCUGAUUACCUAGCUUGGAACUUCAUCAAGGAUGAAUACUUCACGGUGAGAUCGGCGUAUCACUUGCGAAUAGCAAUGAGCCGUGCAAGGACGGGCAUGCAGGAGUCAUCUUCGUUGGUGUACCAACAUAAAAGUUUGAUGGCAGUGUAGGAUACCUCGGCCCCGGGCAAAGCAAAGAUCAAUGUGCGGAGAUUGCUUUGAAAUGGUUUAGAAGUCGGACAUGAAUUACAGAGAAGAAGUAUCAAAGCGGGCGUAUUUUGCACGGCCUGUGGGCGCGACAAGACGAUCUAUCAUAGAUUUUGAGGAUAUCCUCAUGAGAAUGGAUUUUUAGAUCCCGGAUGCCUAGGCACCCCCAUCCCUUUAGAAUAUGGUCCAUCGAGAUUUGUGCGACUCACUGUAGCCAAGGAAACCAUUAGCAGUUUUGGUGCCUCGUUAAGUGCAGGAGUUGACAUGUCGACCGGGUCGUGAAAAUACCUAUUAAAAACUAUCCAAAAGGCUUUACAGCGGGCAGCUCUCUCUGGUCACUUUUGCAUGCUGCACACUCUCUCUCUUUCCUCUUUCGUUUCAACACCUAUCGUCUCACGGGUGAGGAGCGACAGUGAGGAAGCUGUGCGACAGGUGACCCAGCUUUACACUGCUCUCUGAACGAAUCAAUAAGGUUGAGAGAGACAACGCUUUUUCUAACGAAGUGAGAGAGAACCUGUAGGCGUGCAUGCAGGUGAGAGGAGAGAGAGAGUUAAGGUCAACUCCACCGCCAGACCCCAAACGGACGUCCGCUUCGACCUUUUUUGUCCGUUUGAGGUGGCAAUGGGGACUAAAACGUACACGCAUGUCCGGCUCUUGCUCGAGGCGCCCAACGCGGCUACAACCCCAAACUGUCCGCCUCGCGCCUGCCUCGGCCACACGCCCACGCAUGCGCCUUCCCGUCCGCGAGCUCGUGCUCUCGCCACGCAGGUGCAGUGGACGAGGCUGUGACGAGCCGCUCCCCGCCGUGGUCGCGCCGCGCCCGCGCCCUGGCAGUCCCGCCGUGGCCGAGCUCAAAUCGCCGGCCNNNNNNNNNNNNNNNNNNNNNNNNNNNNNNNNNNNNNNNNNNNNNNNNNNNNNNNNNNNNNNNNNNNNNNNNNNNNNNNNNNNNNNNNNNNNNNNNNNNNNNNNNNNNNNNNNNNNNNNNNNNNNNNNNNNNNNNNNNNNNNNNNNNNNNNNNNNNNNNNNNNNNNNNNNNNNNNNNNNNNNNNNNNNNNNNNNNNNNNNNNNNNNNNNNNNNNNNNNNNNNNNNNNNNNNNNNNNNNNNNNNNNNNNNNNNNNNNNNNNNNNNNNNNNNNNNNNNNNNNNNNNNNNNNNNNNNNNNNNNNNNNNNNNNNNNNNNNNNNNNNNNNNNNNNNNNNNNNNNNNNNNNNNNNNNNNNNNNNNNNNNNNNNNNNNNNNNNNNNNNNNNNNNNNNNNNNNNNNNNNNNNNNNNNNNNNNNNNNNNNNNNCCCGCCCAGGCCGCGGCGAGCCGGCACCCUGCGCCACCGGCCGCACCUCGCCCAGGCCGCGCCCUGAUGGGGUCAUGUACCUAGGGUAGGGUCACAGACCUGAUCUAAGUACCCUGCCCAAGGACACCCUUGGAAGAGGUCACCUUCCAGUCGACCAACGAGGGACUCACUCGACUGACUUGAAGGACUCGACCACGAAGACUCACUCGACCACCAGAAGGUCAAGAAGCACUCUGCACUGCAACGGCCUGUAAUUAAGUAGACUUUAUGAUAGUAAAGACACUUUAUGUGGGGCGUUACCAGUAACGCCCCAUACUUAACUCACCUUAAACCCUCUCCUACGUGGGCUGGCUGGGGUCCUGGCGCACUCUAUAUAAGCCACCCCCCUCCACAGGCAGAAGGGUGGGGCACCUUGUAACUCAUAUACGCAUAAUCCACUCGACCGCCUCCGGGCUCCGAGACGUAGGGCUUUCACUUCUUCCGAGAAGGGCCUGAACUCGUACAUCCCUUGUGUUUACAACCUCUCCAUAGCUAGGACCUUGCCUCUCCAUACCUACCCCCCACUCUACUGUCAGGCUUAGAACCACGACAGUUGGCGCCCACCGUGGGGCAGGUGUUUUAGCGAUUUUGUGGGGAAGUUGCGAUUCUUCCGAGUACUUUCAUCAUGGUGGCUACUGGAGUUUUGGUCGAGGGUCGAGAGAUCCGUCUCGCGCUCUCACCUUCAUCGCCGACGACUCCGCCUGGCUCCAGGAGGCUCCACUCGACGUUGAUGCGCUCCCCGUCCGCGGUGCGACGCAUUUUCGCGCAUGUGUCCGCGGCGUUCUGCUGCGGCAACCGUCGACCCCGUAUCAGUCGACUCCCCCAUCGGCCACCCUCCCGGUCUUCCGCCAGCGCAAGCGCUCGGGCCGGUCGAGGCUUCAGCGGUGGGUGAGGCACGCGGUGGCUCGCCAGUCGGCCACCACCCAAGUUGCGGCAAUCGAGCCCGACGAAUCUCUCUACGGCUUGUUCGAUCUGUCGACUGGCUCCGUAGAGACUGCAUCCGAGUGCGAUAGCAGUGAUCCAGCGGCGGAAAUCCUGAUGGUCGACGGGCCCCGCAGUCCCCCUGGCUUCGCCCGUGAUGGUGGAGCAGUCGACGGAGGCGACCCCGCACGAGACCAUGAAGAGUACCAGCCCGAGCCACUCGACUCUCUGCAAAGAGAGGAACUUCGCCGCAGGAACGUGGAUGUCCUGCGUACUCCCAUCGCAGGAGAAACCCCCGAGGCUCGCGCCUUGGAGGAGGCACGUUUGGCCAAUUUGGCCGAACGCACUCGACUGGAGAAUCUUCAGCGAGCACUCGACGAGCGUGCGCGGCAACGAGUUCCCGACGCCAGUCGACGUCAACUCUUCCCGCCGACUCAGGUAUAUCGAACCCCAAUCCAGAAUUUAGCAGCUGCGACCCGUAUAGCAGAGUCCAUCCAGCCUUCUCAGUCGGAAGCUGGCAGAGGUUUGAUGCAGAUCAGGGAUCUGCUCCGGGCAGCAGGAGAUCAGAAUUCAGCCGUGUCGCAGUCGCGCAACAGAAUUCACAGUCGAUCCGUCACUGCGAAUACGGUUCAGUCGGCUCACAGCCCCAGAUCGCCUUCGCGGCGUGAAGGGCGCGAGAAUCGGCGAGACCAAUAUGGUGACCGACACGACCGAGAUGAUAGGCGUCGAGUGCCCAAUUCCCCUCCGAGGGGUGGGUCUUACACUCCUCGGCAGCAAGAUGACAGGCGUCAGCUCAGUGCGGGGCGAAGAGUUCCAGUCGACCCCAGAGAACCAGGCUUCGACGCGCGAUCCAUUAUCGUGCAAGGUUUGGUCGACCGGAACAGAGCCCAUCGAGGUGGACUCGACAGAGAUGCGCCCACAAGCAGUCGAGUGCAUGUUUCUGGUCCUGAAUGUUUCAGCAGAGCUAUCAGAGCCGCAGUUAUCCCUCCCAAUUUCAGGUUGGCAACAGGAGUCAGCAAGUUCACUGGUGAGUCUAAGCCUGAAACUUGGCUCGAGGACUACCGAGUGGCAGUUCAGAUUGGUGGUGGAAACGACGAGGUGGCCAUGAAGCAUUUGCCCCUCAUGCUGGAAGGUUCUGCCAGGGCAUGGUUGACUCAAUUACCUCCUAGCAGCAUUUACACUUGGGAAGAUCUGUCCUGAGUGUUCAUCAGAACGUUUGAAGGAACUUGCAAGCGACCAGCUGGACUGACAGAAUUGCAAGUCUGCGUGCAGAAGACCAAUGAGACUCUCAGAGAGUAUAUUCAGAGAUGGAUCACUUUGCACCAUACUGUGGAGAAUGUGUCUGAUCAUCAGGCAGUCUGUGCCUUUAAAGAUGGCGUCAAGAACAGAGAAUUGAGUUUGAAGUUUGGUCGAACCGGUGACAUGACCUUGAGUCGGAUGAUGGAGAUUGCUACCAAGUACGCCAAGGCGAAGAAGAAGACCGACUCCGAAGCGGCAAGCACAAGCCGAGUCAGUCGGAAAAAGGAAACACCAGUCGGAAACAGAAGCGGAAGGCUGAACCGGCAGCUCCUGGAGAGGCUCUGGCCGUGACUCAAGGAAAGUUUAAAGGGAAACCAAAAGGAUCCUGGAACCCUAAGAAGGUGAAGGAUAAAGAAGGGAACGACGUGAUGGAUAUGCCGUGUCACAUCCACACGAAGAAAGACGAAGAGGGGAAUAUCAUCUACCCGAAGCAUACCACUCGCCAAUGUCGACUCCUGAUCCAGCAGUUUCAGGGAAAACAGUCUAAGGACAAGGAGAAGGAGUCAGACAAGGCCGAAGACAAGGAGGACAGUGAGGAAGGAUAUCCGCAUAUCAACUCCACUCUGAUGAUCUUUGCAGAUGUGGAAAGCAAGAGUCGAUUGAAAGUCAUUAACCGAGAAGUGAACAUGGUUGCCCCAGCAAAAGCAAAUUAUCUGAAAUGGUCCCAAAUACCCAUCACAUUCGACCAAUCUGAUCACCCAACUCAUAUUGCCACCCCUGGGAGGCAAGCUUUGGUGGUCGAUCCAGUUGUCGAAGGCACUCGACUGACAAAAGUGCUGAUGGACGGUGGAAGCGGGCUGAAUUUGUUGUAUGCAGACACACUGAAAGGAAUGGGCAUUCCGAUGUCCCGACUGAGCACCAGUAACAUGAGCUUUCGUGGAGUUAUACCAGGGAAGAAAGCCGAGUCACUCGGCCAAAUAGCUCUGGAUGUGGUGUUUGGUAAUUCGAAACAUUUUCGCAAAGAAAAGUUGACGUUUGAGGUCGUGGAUUUUCAGAGUGCAUAUCAUGCCAUUUUGGGGAGACCAGCUUAUGCGCGGUUCAUGGCUCGACCAUGUUACGUGUACCUCAAAUUGAAGAUGCCCGGCCCCAAAGGUGUGAUCACUGUCACCGGUGAUCGGAAAAAGGCAGAAGAGUGCUUCCAGAAAGGUUCAAAGGUUGCUGAUUCCCAGGUGACAGCAGUCGAGUUCGAAGAAUACAAGCAAAACGCAGAUCCGAGUGACUUGCUGCGAUCCAAGAAACCCGCCAUAGAGUCUGCAUUUCAGUCGUCCGGUGAGACGAAGCCUGUUCACAUUCACCCGACCGACCCCGAUGCAGCUCCGACCCGCAUCUCCACAACACUCGACCCGAAAUAGGAAGAAGCGCUCAUCCAGUUCCUCCGUGAGAACUGGGACAUUUUUGCAUGGAAGCCCGCUGACAUGCCAGGUGUUCCCAGGGGACUGGCUGAGCAUCGCCUAAGAGUCGACUCAUCUGCGAAACCAGUCAAAGAGCGUCUUCGGCGGUCCGCCGUCCAGAAGAGAAAAGCCAUUGGUGAGGAAGUGGCUCGACUGUUGGCGGAAGGAUUUAUCCGAGAGAUAUACCACUCCGAGUGGCUCGCUAAUGUCGUCAUGGUUCCUAAGAAGGACAAAUCACUCCGAAUGUGCAUUGAUUUCAAGCACAUCAACCGGGCCUGCCCGAAAGAUCAUUUUCCUCUCCCUCGCAUAGAUCAAAUUGUUGACUCGACCGCGGGAUGCGAGAGACUGUCUUUUCUAGACGCCUACUCCGGGUACCACCAGAUCCGUCUGUACGGACCCGACGAGGUAAAAACAGCUUUCAUCACUCCAUUCGGGUGCUUCUGCUAUAUCACCAUGCCAUUCGGCCUCAAGAAUGCCGGAGCCACAUUUAUGCGAAUGAUUCAGAAGUGUCUACUCACUCAAAUCAGUCGGAAUGUGGAAGCAUAUAUGGAUGAUAUCGUUGUCAAGUCACGAAAAGGUUCCGACCUGCUCGCUGAUCUCGCCGAAACAUUUGCCAACCUCAGAAGGUAUGAUAUCAAGCUCAAUCCAUCAAAGUGCACAUUUGGAGUUCCUGGUGGCAAGUUACUCGGUUUUCUCGUUUCCGAACGAGGAAUCGACGCUAAUCCAGAGAAGAUCGGCACUAUUCUCCGAAUGAAACGCCCUGUGCGAGUGCACGAUGUCCAGAAGCUUACUGGAUGCUUGGCCGCAUUAAGUCGAUUCAUCUCACGACUCGGUGAAAAGGCAUUGCCUCUUUACCGACUGAUGAAGAAGGCAGACAAGUUCGAGUGGACUCCAUAAGCUGAUGCAUCGUUUGCCGAGCUAAAAGCUCUGCUCUCCACCCAGCCGGUGCUUGCUGCUCCAAUCAGCAAAGAGCCUCUGUUGCUCUAUAUCGCAGCCACAGGACAAGUCGUCAGUACUGUGCUUACGGUCGAGCGGGAAGAAGAAGGAAAAGCUCUCAAAGUUCAGCGCCCAGUGUAUUAUUUGUCUGAAGUCUUGACUCCAUCCAAGCAGAGAUAUCCUCAUUAUCAGAAGCUUGUGUAUGGAAUAUACAUGACCACAAAGAAGGUUGCUCAUUAUUUCUCUGAUCAUUCCAUCACAGUCGUCAGCGACGCUCCACUAUCAGAGAUUUUGCACAACAGAGAUGCAACUGGUCGAGUGGCCAAAUGGGCGAUUGAACUUCUUCCCCUUGAUAUCAAGUUUGAGGCAAAGAAAGCCAUUAAGUCCCAGGCAAUAGCAGAUUUCCUCGCCGAGUGGAUUGAACAGCAGCAGCCGACUGAAGUUCACUCGGAGCAUUGGACCAUGUUCUUUGAUGGCUCUAAGAUGUUGAAUGGUUCCGGUGUUGGGGUUGUCCUGGUUUCCCCCAGAGGAGAUAAGCUCAGAUAUGUGCUCCAGAUUCACUUUGAUUCCUCCAACAAUGAGGCAGAAUAUGAGGCCCUCUUAUAUGGGUUGCGCAUGGCCAUUUCACUCGGCGUCCGUCGCCUGAUGGUCUAUGGCGACUCGGAUUUAGUGGUCAACCAAGUGAUGAAGGAGUGGGACGUGAGAAGCCCAGCCAUGACUGGAUACUGCAGUGCAGUGAGGAAGCUGGAAAAGAAGUUCGAGGGGUUGGAGCUCCAUCAUAUACCCCGACUGAAAAAUCAAGCACCUGAUGAUCUAGCAAAGAUAGGUUCCAAGAGAGAAGCCAUUCCGAGUGGUGUGUUCUUGGAGCAUAUACACACUCCGUCAGUCAAAGAAGAUCCUUUCACCGAAGAAGCUCCACAGCCCAAGAGUGCCACAGAUCCGACUGAGGUUGAAGUCCCAGCGGUGGUCGACUUGAUCAUGGAGUUCUUGGUGGUCAUUCCCGACUGGACAGUUCCAUAUAUCGCGUAUAUCCUGAGAAAAGAGCUUCCGGAGGAUGAGAAAGAGGCUCGACAGAUCGUCCGUCGAUCUAAGGCCUUUACCGUAAUCAAAGGACAAUUAUACAGAGAAAGCGCGACUGGAGUUGGUCAGAAGUGCAUAACACCAGAAGAAGGUCGACUCAUCCUCAAUGAUAUCCACUCGGGGACCUGUGGUCAUCAUGCGUCCUCUCGGACCAUCGUGGCCAAAGCAUACCGAGCCGGAUUUUACUGGCCAAAGGCGAAUGAGAUGGCAAAGGAGAUAGUGGAUAAGUGCGAGGGAUGUCAGUUCUACUCGAAUAUGUCGCACAAGCCUGCAUCGGCUCUGAAGACCAUCCCACUCGUCUGGCCUUUCGCAGUAUGGGGGUUGGACAUGGUCGGUCCUUUGAGAACAGGGCGAAGCGGCUUCACGCAUGUACUGGUGGCAGUCGACAAGUUCACCAAGUGGAUCGAAGCUAAACCAAUCAAGAACCUUGACACCGGUACUGCUGUUAGCUUCAUCAGGGAACUAAUAUUCAGAUAUGGAGUCCCGCACAGCAUCAUUACGGAUAAUGGGUCGAACUUUGACUCGGAGGAAUUUAGAGAUUUCUGUAACUCUCAAGGCACACGGGUCGACUACGCUUCAGUCGCCCAUCCGCAGUCGAAUGGACAAGCAGAGCGAGCUAAUGGCCUGAUUCUCAAGGGAUUGAAACCCCGACUGAUGCGUGAUCUCAAGCAUGCAGCUGGAGCUUGGGUCGAUGAACUUCCCUCAGUGCUUUGGGGACUGCGAACCACACCUAAUCGGUCGACCGGAAGAACUCCAUUCUUCUUGGUCUACGGAGCUGAAGCAGUCUUGCCGAGUGAUCUUCUCCACAAUGCUCCUCGAGUUGAAAUCUACAACGAAGCAGAAGCUGAACAAGCGCGGCAGGACGCAGUCGACCUUUUAGAGGAAGAAAGGGAGAUGGCUCUGAUCCGGUCGACCAUCUACCAACAAGAUUUGCGUCGUUUCCACGCCAGAAAUGUGAGAGGUCGAGCCUUCCAGGAAGGAGAUUUGGUUCUCCGAGUGGAUCAGCACAAACCACACAAGCUUGCUCCUUCUUGGGAAGGUCCCUUCAUCGUCACCAAGGUUCUCCACAACGGGGCGUACCGUCUUUACAAUGUCGAGCAUAAUAUCGACGAGCCCCGAGCUUGGAACGCGGAACUACUCCGCCCAUUUUACACUUAAGGUUUAUCACUUGGAUGAGUUGCAAUAAAGUACUUCUGUAGUUCAUGGACCUCAAAAUAAUAGUGUCAUAGUUCCUCCAUAAUUUUUGUCACUUUUUAUUUUUGUCCAAUAAAAUUCCCCCUCAGUGGGUGACUUAGCCGCGAAUCCGUUUCGCCUAAGUUUGUAAAAAUCCUACCGAGUGGUGAGCCAGACUCCCACUCGGAGGCUUAGCUGCGAAUCCGUUUCGCCUAAGUUAUCGAAAUCCUACCGAGUGGUAAGCCAGACUUCCACUCGGGGGCUUAGCUGCAGCCCUGUGCUCGCCUAAGUUAUAAAAAUCCUACCGAGUGAAGAGCAAACCUCUCACUGGGGGUCUUAGCUGCAGCCAUGUGCUUGCCUAAGUUAUAAAAAUCCUACCGAGUGAAGAGCAAACCUCUCACUCGGGGUCUUAGCUGCAGCCCUGUGCUCGCCUAAGUUUGUAAAAAUCCUACCGAGUGAAGAGCAAACCUCUCACUCGGAGGCUUAGCUGCAGUCCAAGUACUCGCCUAAGUAAUCAAAAAAUCCUACCGAGUGAAGAGCAAACCUCUCACUCGGAGGCUUAGCUGCAGUCCANNNNNNNNNNNNNNNNNNNNNNNNNNNNNNNNNNNNNNNNNNNNNNNNNNNNNNNNNNNNNNNNNNNNNNNNNNNNNNNNNNNNNNNNNNNNNNNNNAAGAGCAAACCUCUCACUCGGGGGGCUUAGCUGCAGUCCAAGUACUCGCCUAAGUUAUAAAAAUCCUACCGAGUGGUAAGCCAGACUUCCACUCGUAGGCUUAGCUGCAGUCCAAGUACUCGCCUAAGUUAUAAAAAUCAUGCCGAGUGGUAAGCCAGACUCCCACUCGGAGGCUUAGCUACGAAUCCGUUUUCGCCUAAGUUAUCAGAAAUCCUACCGAGUGAAGAGCAAACCUCUCACUCGGAGGCUUAGCUGCAGUCCAAGUACUCGCCUAAGUUAUAAAAAUCCUACCGAGUGAAGAGCAAACCUCUCACUCGGAGGCUUAGCUGCAGUCCAAGUACUCGCCUAAGUUAUAAAAAUCCUACCGAGUGGUAAGCCAGACUUCCACUCGGAGGCUUAGCCGCAGCCCAGUGCUCGCCUAACUGGACUAAGGAAUAAGUCGAUUGCAGUAAAGGCGCCCUGCUUUGAACCUGCAAAAGACAUUUCGAGCCAAAAGCAAUCAUAUUCAAGCACCAAAUUCAAGUUCGAAUCGAUAUCUAAAGGAACCGAAAGUGCUCAGGCGCUAAGCCCGUUAAGGUUUAUCGGUUACAAUUCCACUCGGCAUACCGAGGCAAAUUUAAAGCGUCGAGCUUAGAAGAAGUUUUUUACCCCUCCUGCGGAGGGCUGGAAGGUGCAACAAACUCAUCAAGAUCAAUUCCGUCUGCGAUCCGAGUGGCAGCCGCAAGGAAAGUUUCCAUAAAGGACCUGAAGUCGUGUUUUUUGGUGUUGGCCACCCGGAGGGCCGCCAGCUUCUCUUCUCGCGCAUCUUUGCAGUGGACUCGGGCCAGACACAGAGCAACAUCUGCACCGCACCGAGCCGAGGACUUCUUCCACUCCUGCACUCGACCAGGGAUCGUGUUCAAGCGAGCCAUCAGCGACUCAAGGUCAUUCUGAAGUGUCUCCCCGGGCCAGAGCGUCGAGUCGAUGCGAGAUGUGGCGACCUUCAGCCUUGCAAGAUAGUCCACGGCAGCUGCAACACGGGACUCCAGUCGGAAAACAUUCAUGGCAACUUCGUCGUUCACCGGAGAAUUGACGGGGUCGAGGUUUGGUUCCAGCCGGCUAGUUUCUUCUUCAAAGUUUUGACAAAAUUCUGCAAAGACGAUCACCGAGUCAAGGUGAUGGUCGAAUGGAAAAACCACGAUUGGGAAUAAUUGCCUAGCAUAGAGGUUUACCUUCAAGCAUAAGAAACAGCUUCUUGGCGAGAUCACUCAGGAAGGCCUCCAGAUCAUUUUUCUUCCCAGUCAACUUACUGACUUGGUCGGUCAGGGCAGCUUUAUCAGUUUUCAGUCGACUGACCUCCUUGUUGGCGAUCCCAAGAGCAGCUUUCAGAUUGGUAUUGUCUUGUUCAAGCUUGGUGACUGAAGCUAGCUUCUCGUCAGCGAGCUUGAUCUUCUCAGCUAGUUCAAGGUCUUUUUUCUGUUGGGCCUCCCUUACCUUACCUGCAAGUUACAGCAAGAUCAGAUUUUGAAACAAACGAAGGGGAAAAUCAGUCGUCAAGGUCUCACCAAACAUACCUUCGGUCUCCUCCUUUGCCUUCGUCAGUUUCUCCUGAACCAGCUUCAAAUUCAGCUCGAGCUGAACGUGCUUGUUUUCCAGCUCAGAGUAGCGAGCCACAAGAUCACAGGAGUUCUGCGAAGAACCAAUCGACUAAAUGUCAAAUAUAAUUCACUUCCGAGUGAAAAAGAAAAAAUCACACGUUUCUAAGACUACAGCCGAAUACAAGCAUUCGACCGUAGUCUCGGGGACUACACCCAGUGGGUGCACUCAGUGUGCCCCCACUAAUCGUAUCGAAGAUAGAGUCGACCAGUCGACCUCAAAAAAAAGAGAGAGAUGUAUUCUUUAAGACUGUAAUCGACUGCAAGCAGUCGACCACAGUCUCGGGGACUACACCCAGUGGGUGCACUCAGCGUGCCCCCACCGGUUUGCGAAAUCCAUUCGACAUAGUCGAAUGACGCAAAGACUUAAAUUAUAAAACCUAAAGCCGACUGACAGCAGUCGACCUUAGCCUUGGGGACUACACCCAGUGGGUGCACUCAGCGUGCCCCCACUAAUCCUAUUGAAGACAGAGUCGACCAGUCGACCAGUUUGCGAAAUCCAGUCGACAUAGUCGAAUGACGCAGAGACUGAAAUUAUAAAGCCUAAGGCCGACUGCCAGCAGUCGACCUUAGCCUUGGGGACUACACCCAGCGGGUGCACUCAGCGUGCCCCCGCUAACAUGGAGUCUAAGUCGACACACCCAGUGGGUGACUACUAUAAAUUCUAGAAAGAAAAGUUUUUGAUAGCAUAUCCUAACGGAACAGGCGGUGGUCGACUGACCUGAACAUUGCUUUGAAGGGCGGAACUGGCGUCGUAAGCUGCCUGGCUCGCAUCCCGGAUGGUCCUUAACUGCUCCAUCAUGAUCCCUGCCUGGCGUAUCGCCUCCUUCGCGGCGCCAGCUUGGUCCUCUGGGACGUGGUGCGUCGUGAAGAGGGAGGGCUGCUGAGCACUCGUCAGUGGAUUUGCGAAGGACACAGUGUGUCGAGUGGUAUUCUCUUCCUCCGCAAUCAGAGUCUCAGGCGCCGUCACAUCCUGGGGCACCCUGCUGGCAGACGCUUUCCUACUCUUUCUGCGCUUCAGCGGUUCCUCAUCCUCAUCAUCAUCAGGGAGAGUGAUAACAACAUUGGGUGGAGCUACAGAGAAGAAUCAGGAUUAGAGAUCAUGAGUCAGUCGACUAAAAACGGCGUUAAGAAUAUAGUACCUGGUUUUGAGGUUGCUGCGUCCUCCAUCUCAUGGUCAUCAGCCCGGGCUGAGGUCUCAGAAGUAGCAGCACUGCAACUCCAAAGAAUCAGUCGACUAACUUCAGCGUCAACCAGAGACAAAGUUCACGCAAAAUAAGAAGACUUAAGCAGCAUGAUUACCCUGAUAUGGUGGGGAUGGACACCUUCAUCUUCGGCAGGAGCUUGGUCGGCUUUGACGGAGCCGCCCUGGGCUGCUUCGGCGCCUUUUCAGUGGGCGCCGGAGAGGUGGUCCGAGGGCGCUUGGUCGACUGUGCAACGGUCGCAACCCCUUUGCCACGUUCAGUCGAAGGGUCGUGGACAAGCUUCGACCGCCUUUCUGAGUGCGGUGGUACGACCUCCUCCUCCUCUUCUUCCUCGUCUUCAGCGUCAUCUUCAUCACCGUCAUCGUCGUCAUCGUCGUCAUCAUCCUCAGCAACGUCCGAGUCCCACUCCUCCUCCUCCUGGCUCUCGCCCCCACUCGCCUCACCCUCCUCAGUCGGAGCCUGUGCUCCAUUGGGCAUCGAGUACAGCUCGGUGAGGGCCUGCUAGACAUCAAGACAAGGAUCAAUCGACCAAUUGGCAGAAUAAACAGAAAUGAAUAUGACAAGAACACAGUGGAGAGCAGAGCAGGCAUACCUUGUUUGGAUCACUGUUGUGGUCGAGUGGAGGAAUCCUUCUGGCUCCGCGUGGGUUAUCCUUGUUUCCGGUAACGGCGGCCAUCCAUCUUUCCAGAGUGACAUCGUCGACUGCUUCUGGAAGGACCCGAGUCUCGUCCUCAGUCCCACAGUACAACCACAUGCAGUGGCUCCGGAACUGAAGGGGCUGGAUACGACGCCUAAGGAAAACCUCCAGGAGAUCCAUGCCCGUCACUCCCUCCCGAACCAACUGUACCACGCGCUCCAUCAACAUCUUCACGUCAGCUUUCUCCUCCGGAAUCAACUUCAGAGAGGAGGGCUUGUUCACUAGGUCCAUGGUAAACUGAGGGAGUCCACUCGACUGCCCCGGCAUCGACUGAUCCUGGCAGUAGAACCAGGUCGACUGCCAGCCUCUGACUGACUCAGGAAAAGUCAUGGCUGGGAACGUGCUCUUAUUCCUCACCUGGAUCCCCAGGCCCCCACACAUUUGGACGACUCGGGUUCUUUCGUCGCCUGGGCUCGCCUUCUUCACGGUCUGAGAGCGACAUGUGAAUAUAUGCUUGAACAAGCCGCAGUGCGGUCGACAGCCCAGAAAACCCUCACACAUGGACACGAACGCGGCAAGAUAGGCGAUAUAAUUUGGAGUAAAGUGGUGGAGCUGCGCUCCAAAGAAGUUCAAGAAACCACGGAAGAAAAUACUCGGCGGCAAAGAAAAUCCACGAUCGACAUGGGUGGCCAGGAGCACGCACUCACCCUCUUCUGGCUGGGGCUGCCACUCCUUCCCCGGAAGCCUCGUAGCUCCAUGAGGGAUCAGGCCCUCGUUGGCCAUGUCGAGGAGAUCUUUCUCCGUGAUGGUCGACUGGAUCCAAUCUCCUUGGACCCAGCCCUUCGACAGGCGGGAUCUAGACGAAGACCCGCCGCGGCUAGUGGAUCUCCCCUUCGCCUUCUCCGUUGCCGACGCCUUCUUCGCGCGUUCCAGCGCCGCCGUCUUCUCCUUGGCCAUGGUUGCCGGUGAGACGCGCGAGGGGAGGUUGGGCGGAGGCGAGAGCGAGCGCGUUGGGCGGAGACGAAGAGAGCAGAGAAAGAGAAUGCUGAGGCAUAGUACAAAAAACCCUCGCCGGGCGCAUUUAUAAGGUCCCUUCCUAGUGGAUGACAGGUGGGCCCGGUCGAUCUAAUCAUAUCCAGGAACAGUUAUGCAGGCGAGAUACGUGGCGAAGAAAGCAGCACGGAGAUCGAGGCGUCUAUGUCCCGUCCCAUCCGAACGCCGCGGUCCGCUCCGCUUCGCGCGCUUCCUCAAAUUUCGCAUCCCGCGGAAUCCGCGAACGGCAGAUCGGUCUGUCAGGCGCGGGGUUUCCUGCGAUCUAUCGCUCGGAGAUCGUCGAAGCCCGAAAGAUCACUCGACGAAAGAAGAGAAUGGAUCGAGUCGACUGAAGACAAGUUGCUCACUAUCGACGAGGAGAUUCUUUGGUCCAGAACAACGCACGACCAGUGUGCAAAAGUUAAUCGGAAACAACAUCAACUCCUUCCUCACUCGAAGCCUCAAUCCAUUUGGGGGCUAAUGAUGGGGUCAUGUACCUAGGGUAGGGUCACAGACCUGAUCUAAGUACCCUGCCCAAGGACACCCUUGGAAGAGGUCACCUUCCAGUCGACCAACGAGGGAGUCACUCGACUGACUUGAAGGACUCGACCACCAGAAGGUCAAGAGGCACUCUGCACUGCAACGGCCUGUAAUUAAGUAGACUUUAUGAUAGUAAAGACACUUUAUGUGGGGCGUUACCAGUAACGCCCCACACUUAACUCACCUUAAACCCUCUCCUACGUGGGCUGGCUGGGGUCCUGGCGCACUCUAUAUAAGCCACCCCCCUCCACAGGCAGAAGGGUGGGGCACCUUGUAACUCAUAUACGCAUAAUCCACUCGACCGCCUCCGGGCUCCGAGACGUAGGGCUUUCACUUCUUCCGAGAAGGGCCUGAACUCGUACAUCCCUUGUGUUUACAACCUCUCCAUAGCUAGGACCUUGCCUCUCCAUACCUACCCCCCACUCUACUGUCAGGCUUAGAACCACGACACGCCCCACCCGGCCCCGACCGCGGCGUGCCUGGCCGCGCCCGCGUGCGCCCCGUCCGGCCUAGGCUGCGGCGUGCCCGGCCACGCCCGCGCGCGUCUCGCCCCGCCCCGAGCCAUGGCGAGCGUGGGUGCACUGCUGCUCGUCGCCGUGCUCCCUCCCGUGGUCGUGCUGCUCGCCGCCCCGCCUCACCCGCCUGCUCCCCCGCCCCGCCUCGCCCGUGCGCGCGCGGGCAGCCGCGUCGCUCGUCCAUGUGCCCGCCCGCGCCCGCAUGCAUCGGCAUGGGUAGUGUGCGUGGUGCAGAGGAGAGAGAGGAAAAAAGGUGGAGAGAGGUGGUGGGUGGGCAUGGUAGGCCAGAGGAGAGAGAGGAUGACAGGUGGGUCAGGCCUCACAUGCGGAGGACACUGCCCGGACGAGGAGAACGCAAAAUUCGUCCGCCCGUGUCCGUUUCAGACCCAAACCCAGACCAACUUUGCUCCGAGGAUGGGUCGGGACGGACCAGAAACAGACGUUUUUUUAGGAUGGGGUCGCGCGUUGGGACGUCUGAUUUGUCCGUUUUACCUCCGACGGACAGACCCGGACGAUUUGGGGUCGUGUGGUGGAGUUGGCCUAAGAGAAAGCAUGAGGAGAGAGAGAGAGAUUGUGCAUGCAUGUGCAACAACGGAGAGAGCAUCUUGUCUCCUGACAGAGAAACGUCCUGUCAAACAAUGUAGGCAUUUUACAGUGACCUGGGACCAUUGCAUGCCUCGAGUCACGGUCCAAUAGACUUCCUCCCUUGAGAAAGGAAAAGCCUGCCUAAUUACCCUGCUAUUGCUGCAAAUCGUCUGCAUGUGGACAGAGGCUGGCUCGAAUCUUAUUGCCAGUGGAUGGACGAGAUAGGAGGGUGUCGGGACCCCCGGGUGCCAUCGCACCUUUCCGAUAUCCUCAUUCGGUUCUUUUCUGGAAGAAAUUGCGUUCGGAAAAGGGAAUUGCGGUGGCGAUCCCACUGUGUCGGAUUGAUUCCCAGACCCAGAGUGCAGCUGCUAGAUGGCUCCUGGAUUGGUUUGCGCACGCGGGUGAUGAGGAGCGAGCGGUGAUGAUCCAGUCGGUCUACGCUUUGUGGCUUGCUCGGAAUGAAGCUCGUGAUGGCACAAACAGAUUGAAGAUCCACAUGAAACCAUGAACCGGGUGGUAAGGCUAGUGGAAGAAUGGAAUAUGGUCAUGACAAGCCCACUGCCUCACGUCUUCCAGAUGUGUGAAUGAGAUGGGAGGCGCCAGAGGAGGGUUGGAUUGAGGCCAACACUGAUGGUGCUUUCUCCCGAGUUUGUGGAAAGGGAGGUGCGGGUGUAGUUUUGAGAGAUCACAAUGGAGCAUUCAGGGCUACAGCUUGCCACUUCUUCAACCAUGCAUCGUGCCCAGAGAAGGUGGAGGCGUUGGCGUGCGGACGAGCUAUCCAGCUUGCCAUGGAGACCAAUGUGCAGAAGCUGCAUGUUGAACUUGAUAACGUUGGAGUUGUUGCGGCGAUAAAUAGACAGGAUAAAGAUCUCUCUGCAUUGGGGCCUUGCAUUUAGGAUAUCAAGCAGAUGCUUCGACGGUUCAUGCAGGUGAAGGUUACAUGGACGAAGCGAGAAGCCAACAGUACCGCUGAUAAGCUAGCUAAAGUAGGAUUAGGCGAUGAGUUAUAUAAAGUUUGGUGGUCUAUACCGCUUGUCGUGGUUCUAAGUCUGACAGUAGUGUAGGGGGUAAGGAAUGGAGAGGCAAGAUCCUAUCUAUGGAGUAGUUGUAUACGCAAGAGAUUUACGAGUUCAGGCCCUUCUCGGAGGAAGUAACGGCCCUACGUCUCGAAGCCCGGAGGCGGUCGACUGGAUUAUGCGUGUAUGAGUUACAGGGGUGCGAACCCUUUACACUGAGGAGAGGGUUGGCUUAUAUAGAGUUUGCCAGACCCCUCCGGCCCUCAGUUAUGUAGGGUUUAAGGUACAUUAAGAUCAGGCGUUACUGGUAGUGCCACAAAUAAAGUGCUAUGAUGACCAUAAAAGCUACUCAAUGACCAGCCGAUUGUGUGCAGAGCGACUUUAGAUCUCCUGGCUGUCGAGUGGUUGGCUUCAUGGUCGAGUGUCUUCGAGUCCGUCGAGUGGAACACUUCUGAGUCGAUUGAAAGGUGGUUUCUUCUAGAGAUGUCCUUGGAGUGGGUAGCUUGGACAGGUCCAUGACCCUACCCUAGGUACACAACUUCAUCAUUAGCCACCGAAUGGAUCGAGGUUUGAGUGGGGAAGGAGUUGAGAACUCUUCCGACCCAUUUUUCGUGCUAUGAGUGUAUCUUGUUCUGGAUCCAUGAACUUAAGUAAUGACACCAACUUCUUUUUCGGUCGCCUUGAUCCAUUCUUGGUUUCAGUCGAGUGAAUUUCUUUACUUGAAAAGCUCUGAGUGACGGUGUGGAGGAGAUCCUCCGUCUGACAAGUUGUUCUCCUGCUCGCAGAUUUUGCGGGAUUCGAAUUUUGGGAAGCGCGUGGGGCGGAGGAGGCCGCAGUAAUCGGACGGGAUAGGGCGGAGACGCCUCGAUCUCCGCGCCACCUUUUUCGCCACGUAUCACGCGCGCGACUGUUGCGGGAUUUGACAGGAUCGUCUGGGCCUACAGGUCAGUCACUCGGAAGCAACUCCAUAUAAGCCGCUGGCCCAGGGCUUUUGAACAGUGCGCCUUCAUUUUUCCUCUUUCUUCUCGAAUUCCUCCGCCACCUCUGCUCUCGUCCCGGUGCCGUCGGUCCGUUCGAGCUUCGUCUGCGGCGAUGGUGAAGGAGAAGACGGCGGCCCUGGAGCGCGCGAAGAAGGCGACGACGCAGGCGAAGGCGAAGAAGUCCGAUCGGGGCGGAUCUUCCUCAAGGUCUGCCUUGCCGCGGGGCUGGAUCCAGGGCGAUUGGAUGCCCUCGGCGAUUCGUCAGGAAGACAUUGAUGACCUAUUCGCGGGGGGAUUCAUUCCUCACGAAUCUGCGCGCCUCCUGGGGAACGAGAUCGAGCCGCAGCCUCUCGAGGGUGUGUGUGUCCUUAUCGCCACUCACGUCGUCCGUGGAUUCUCCCUGCCCCCUCAUCCUUUUUUCUGGAGUUUCUUGAACUUUUUCGGAGCGCAACUCCAUCACUUUACUCCAAAUUCCAUCAUGUAUCUUGCUGCCUUCGUGUCUUUGUGCGAGAAUUUCUUGGGUUGCCAUCCUCAUUGGGGCCUCUUCAAGCACAUUUUCACUUGUCGUUCUCAGUCGGUUAAGAAAGCCAAGUCGAGUGACGAUAAGACACAAGUGAUUCAGAUGUGCGGGGGUCUUGGGAUCCAGAUGAGAAGCAAAAGUUCUUUUCCAGCUUCUCCCUGAACCGAGCAGAAAAACCUUCUUCUCUGAAAGUGACACCAUAAGAGAAGGCACAAGUCAAAGUGUUGGUUAGUCGAGUGGUUCAGCUUGUCCGUGACGGGGUGACUGGUAUGUAUUUGCUAGAGGUCUUCCUUCGGAGAUGUAUCCAACCGCUCCAAGCUCGUGACCAUCCGAUGUGGAUGUAUUCGGGUCUCGAUGACACCACUCGGAUUCACCCAGAGGAGGUCAACGAGGCUACGUUGGAGGGGUGGUUGUCAAGUAUCACAGGGAACAAAGACAACCCCCGAGGAGCCAGGAGGAUUCCUCCACUUGACCAAUCGUAUGAAGUAGAUCAGGUCCAAUUCUGCAUCUCUGACUGUGGCCUUGCUUUCUUCAUUCUGUUUGCUUAAAAUCAAUCGACUGACUUUUGUCUUGUUUGUUGCCUUCUAGACCAUUACUGAGAUGUACUCGAUGCCCAGCGGGGCGCAAGAACAUACCGAGGAGGAGGAGGCGAGCGGAGGUGAAAGUGAGGAGGAGUGGCAAUCUGAUGGUGAGGGGGAAGAGGAUGAUGACGGCUCUAGUGGAGAGGAGGAGGAGGAAGUCGAUCCUCCUCGCACGAAAAGGCGAUCCAAGCUUACCCACGACCCCGCGAGCGAGCGUGGCAAAGCGGCUGCGCCUGUUGGGCAGUCGUCAAAACACCCUUGGACGGCUUCUCCGGCGCCGACUGAAAAGGCACCAACGCAUCCGCGGGCGGCGUCAUCAAAGCCGCCGAAGGCCUUGCCCAAGAUAAGAAUGACCAUUCCCACCAUUUUCGGGUAACAACAGAACUUGUGUUUUCUCGUUUAGCAUGGACAGACUCUUGGUCGACUCAUUGACUAACCGAUUGGUUUCUGAAAUCUGUAGUGCUGCUACCUUUGAGACCUCCGCCAGGAACGAAGACCAGGAAAUGGAAGACGCUGUCACCUCCAACCUUGGUACGAUUUCUGUAGUUUCACUUUUGGUCGAUUGGAUUUUCGUUUUUAACUUUGGAUUUUUCCUGUAGCUCCUCCUCAUGUCAUUGAUCUCCCUGAUGAUGACGACGAGGCGCCACUGAGGCCGAGGAGGAAUAGAAAGGCGCCGGCUGGCAAGACUACUCAGAUUGCAUCAGUGCCUGAGACAUCAGUUCAAGAGGGUGGCAAUAUCACUCGGAAUUCCGUGUCCUUCGAUGUGCCGCUGACGAGUGUUCGGCCUUCGUCGUCGACUGCUGACCCGCCCUCCCUUUUCGCCACACACCACGUCCCAAAGGACCAAGUGGAACCUGCUAAGGAGGCUAUACACCAAGCGGGGAUCAUGAUGGAGCAGGUGAAGGCGGUCCGGGAAGCCAGCCAAGCGGCCUAUGAUGCUAGCUCAGCCCUUCAGAGCAACGUCCAGGUUAGUUGGUCACCGCUUGUUCUGUUAGGAUAUGCUAUCUGAAGACUUUCUUACCGAAGAUCUUUGUAUCUGUACACCCACUGGGUGUGUCGAUUGAAUGUUUGGAUUGGUGGGGGCACGCUGAGUGCACCCAUUGGGUGUAGUCCCCGAGACUAUGGUAGACUGCUGGCAGUCGACUGUAGUCUUUGUAUUUUGAAUUUCUUCACUCUAACUUCUUCACUCGGUCUAGUCGGACCAUAUCGAAUGGAAUCUUGGAACCAGUGGGGGCACGCUGAGUGCACCCACUGGGUGUGGUCCACGAGACCAUGGCUGACUGCUGGCAGUCGACUAAGGUCUGAAGAACCUGUGUUUUUUUUGGUAGAUCAUGAUGAGACCAUGGCUGACUGCUGGCAGUUAGCUAUGGUUUAGGAUCAUAACCUCUUUGUCUCUUUCGGUCGAUUGAUCGGACCAAGUCGGUAGAGCCAGUGGGGGCACGCUGAGUGCACCCACUGGGUGUAGUCCCCGAGACUACUGUUGAAUAUUUUGAUUCGGCUGUAGUCUUAGAAAUGUUACGAAUUUUCUCUUAGUCACUCGGAAGCAACCUAUCUUUGAUGUCUGUAGACUGACCCUUCGCAGAAAUCUUGCGAGCUUGUGGCUCGCUAUACUGAAUUGGAAAACAAACAGAUCCAGCUCAACCUUGACUUGAAUCUUGCUCAGGAGAACUUUCAGAAGGUGAAAGACAAAGCAAAAGGUAUGGCUGGUGAGACUUGAUGACUGUCUUUAUCUUUCUGCCCAUUCCUGAUUCUGAUCUCAUUGUCAUUUUGCAGAUAAAGUGAAGGAGGCUCUGAAGAAGAAGGACCAUGACCUUGCCGAGGCGCAGAAGGCGGCUUUGGACAAAACGAAGCUUGCGGAACAAAACUGGCUUUAGUCGGUAAACUUGAAGAGGAGAACGCCAAUCUGAAAGCUGCUCUCAACGCGGCCAACAAGGAGGUCAGCCAUCUGAAGAAUGAUAAGAUAGCUCUGAAUGACAAGGCUAGUGAACUGGUGGGGAAGAGGAACGAUCUGGAGGCUUAUCUGGGAGGGCUCGCCAAGAAGUUAUUCAUCAUGCUUGAGGGUAAUCUCUCCUACCCGACUGACUUGUUAUCAUCGACUUAUCAUAGAACUACUGGUUUAUCUUUGAAUUGUGUUUACAGAAUUCUACCAAAACUUCGAGGAGGAGACCAGUCGAGUGGAGACAAGCUUGGACCCCAUUAACUCUCCUGUGAAGGAUGAAAUUGCUAUGAACGUGCUCCAACUGGAGUCUCGUGUUGCUGGUGUGGUUGACUACCUUGCUCGACUGAAGGUUGCGGUGUCGCGAAUCAACACGACACUCUGGCCAGGAGCGACGCUUCAAAAUGACCUCCAGUCUCUAAUGACUCGACUGAAUGAAGUUCCAGGUCGAGUGCAAGAAUGGAGGAAGUCUUCUGCCAGGUGUGGCGCUGACGUUGCCCUGUCCCUGGUCCGUGUUCACUGCAAGGAUGCGCGAGAGGAAAAGCUGGUGUCCAUCAAAGUUGCCAAUACCAAGAAGCACGACUUACAAUCUUUCAUGGAGACCUUCAUUGCUGCUGCCACUCGGAUUGCUGACGAAAUUGACUUGGACCAGUUUGUCGCGCCCUCCAGUCCUCCACCUGAGGAGUAAGAAAAACUUCUAUGCUUCGCCUUAAAUUUGCCUCGGAAUUCCGAGUGGUUUUGUAACCGAUAAACUUUUACAACCUUGACGCCUGAGCACUUCUGAAUCCGUAGGAUGUUAUCUGAACUUGUCUUAUCGUUGAAUAUGCUUGCAUUUGCCUUCGAGCAAACUUUGUUCUUCACUCGGAAUAUACUUUAGUGCUUGAGACGCAGCUCUGAGGUGGAAAAUCUAGUCGACCUGCACUUCAUCGCUCUUGCAGGUAGGGAUGGAGCACAGAUUCCAGUCGACCUGCGUCCUUGCGGAUCGGGAUGGAGUGCACGUUGUAUUUGUGGCGUAGCUUCGAAGGAGAAGGUAGCAAUCGACCUGCACCUCGUCGUCCUUGCAGAGCGCACGUUGUAUUUGUGGCAUAGCUCCGAAGGAGAAGGUAGCAGUCGACCUGUACCUCGUCGUCCUUGCGGAUCGGAAUGGAGCGCACGUUGUAUUUGUGGUGUAGCUCCGAAGGAGAAGGCGGCAGUCGACCUGCACCUCGUCGUCCUUGCGGAUCGGAAUGGAUUUCAUACUUAGGUGAGUACUUGGAUUGCAACUAAGCCUUCGAGUGGGAGGAUUGCUCUCCACUCGGUAGGAUUUUUAAAUACUUAAGCGAGUACUGGACUGCAGCUAAGCCCCCAAGUGGGAGGGUUGCUCUCCACUCGGUAGGAUUUUCAAAUACUUAGGCGAGUACUGGACUACAACUAAGCCCCCGAGUGGGAGAGUUGCUCUCCACUUGGUAGGAUUUUCAAAUACUUAGGUGAGUACUAGACUGCAGCUAAGCCUCCGAGUGGGAGGUUUGCUCUUCACUCAGUAGGAUUUUUAAAUACUUAGGCAAGUACUGGACUGCAGCUAAGCCCCCGAGUGGGAGGGUUGCUCUCCACUUGGUAGGAUUUUCAAAUACUUAGGCGNNNNNNNNNNNNNNNNNNNNNNNNNNNNNNNNNNNNNNNNNNNNNNNNNNNNNNNNNNNNNNNNNNNNNNNNNNNNNNNNNNNNNNNNNNNNNNNNNNNNNNNNNNNNNNNNNNNNNNNNNNNNNNNNNNNNNNNNNNNNNNNNNNNNNNNNNNNNNNNNNNNNNNNNNNNNNNNNNNNNNNNNNNNNNNNNNNNNNNNNNNNNNNNNNNNNNNNNNNNNNNNNNNNNNNNNNNNNNNNNNNNNNNNNNNNNNNNNNNNNNNNNNNNNNNNNNNNNNNNNNNNNNNNNNNNNNNNNNNNNNNNNGCUAAGCCCCCGAGUGGGAGGGUUGCUCUCCACUCGGUAGGAUUUUCAAAUACUUAGGCGAGUACUGGACUGCAGCUAAGCCCCCGAGUCGGAGGGUUGCUCUCCACUCGGUAGGAUUUUCAAAUACUUAGGCGAGUACUGGACUGCAGCUAAGCCCCCGAGUGGGAGGUUUGCUCUUCACUCGGUAGGAUUUUUAAAUACUUAGGCGAAACAGAUUCGCAGCUAAGCCCCCGAGUGAGAGGCUUGCUCGUCACUCGGUAGGAAUUUUUUUUUACAAACUUAGGCGAAACGGAUUCGCAGCUAAGCCACCCACUAGGGGGUUUCUCACGUAAACAAAAGCAACAACAAUCACUGGGAAAAUUAUAACACUCUUGUCUUUGAUAAACAAACUACAGAGGUACUUUUUAUUACAUAUCAUCCGAGUGAGUACUUAAGUAUAAAAGGGGCGGAGCAUCUCCGCAUUCCAAGCUCGUGGCUCAUCAAUCUGGCGAUCGACAUUGUAAAGAUGGUACGCUCCAUUGUGGAGAACUUUGGUGACGAUGAAGGGGCCUUCCCAAGUAGGGGCGAGUUUGUGUGGCUUCUGUUGAUCCACUCGGAGGACCAAGUCUCCUUCUUCGAAGGCUCGACUCUUCACGUUUCUGGCAUGGAAUCGACGCAAGUCCUGCUGAUAGAUAGUCGAUCGGAUCAUGGCCAUCUCUCUUUCUUCUUCUAGAAGGUCGACUGCGUCCUGCCGGGCUUGUUACGCUUCAUCUUCAGAGUAGAGCUCGACUCGGGGUGCAUUGUGAAGCAGGUCACUCGGCAGAACUGCUUCAGCUCCAUAGACCAGAAAGAAUGGAGUUUGCCCAGUUGACCGAUUAGGAGUAGUCCUCAAUCCCUAAAGAACUGAUGGAAGUUCAUUGACCCACGCGCCUACUACGUGUUUGAGAUCACGCAUCAACCGGGGUUUCAGUCCUUUGAGAAUUAGGCUGUUUGCUCUUUCUGCUUGUCCAUUCGACUGGGGGUGAGCGACGGAAGCGUAGUCGACUCGCGUGCCUUGAGAAGCGCAGAAGGCUGUCGGAAUUGAAGUUUGACCCAUUAUCAGUGAUGAUGCUGUGUGGAACUCCAUAUCUGAAUAUCAACUCUCUGAUGAAGCUGAUAGCAGUGCAGGUAUCAAGAUUCUGAAGGAAAUAUGCCCUAGAGGCAAUAAUAAAGUUAUUAUUUAUUUCCUCAUAUCAUGAUAAAUGUUUAUUAUUCAUGCUAGAAUUGUAUUAACCGGAAACAUAAUACAUGUGUGAAUACAUAGACAAACAUAUAGUCACUAGUAUGCCUCUACUUGACUAGCUCAUUAAUCAAAGAUGGUUAUGUUUCCUAACCAUAGACAUGUGUUGUCAUUUGAUUAACGGGAUCACAUCAUUAGGAUAAUGAUGUGAUUGACAUGACCCAUUCCGUUAGCCUAGCACUUGAUCGUUUAGUAUAUUGAUAUUGCUUUCUUCAUGACUUAUACAUGUUCCUGUAACUAUGAGAUUAUGCAACUCCCGUUUACCGGAGGAACACUUUGGGUACUACCAAACGUCACAACGUAACUGGGUGAUUAUAAAGGAGUACUACAGGUGUCUCCGAAGGUACAUGUUGGGUUGGCGUAUUUCGAGAUUAGGUUUUUUCACUCCAAUUGUCGGAGAGGUAUCUCUGGGCCCUCUCGGUAAUGCACAUCACUAUAAGCCUUGCAAGCAAUGUAGCUAAUGAGUUAGUUACGAGAUGAUGCAUUACGUAACGAGUAAAGAGACUUGCCGGUAACAAGAUUGAACUAGGUAUUGGAUACCGAUGAUCAAAUCUCGGGCAAGUAACAUACCGAUGACAAAGGGAACAACAUAUGUUGUUAUGCGGUUUGACCGAUAAAGAUCUUCGUAGAAUAUGUAGGAACCAAUAUGGGCAUCCAGGUUCCGCUAUUGGUUAUUGACCGAGAAUAGUUCUAGGUCAUGUCUACAUAGUUCUCGAACCCGUAGGGUCCGCACGCUUAAAGUUACGAUGACAGUUUUAUUAUGAGUUUAUAAGUUUUGAUGUACCGAAGUUUGUUCGGAGUCCCGGAUGUGAUCACGGACAUGAUGAGGAGUCUCGAAGUGGUCGAGACAUAAAGAUUGAUAUAUUGGAAGCCUAUGUUUGGACAUCGGAAUCGUUUCGGGUGAAAUCGGCAUUUUACCGGAGCACCGGGAGGUUACCGGAACCCCCCGGGGGGUUAUUGGGCCUACAUGGGCCUCGGGAGAGAAGAGGGAAGGAGGCAGGAGGGGGCCGUGCGCCUCUCCCCUUCCUAGUCCGAAUAGGACAAGGGAAGGGGGGCGGCGCCCCCCUUUCCUUCCCCUCUUCCUCCUCUUUCCCCCUUCUCCUAUUCCAACUAGGAAAGAAGGGAGUCCUACUCCCGGUGGGAGUAGGACUCCCCCCUUGGCGCUCCCUCCUUGGCCGGCCGCCUCCACCCCCUGGCUCCUUUAUAUACGGGGGCGGGGGGCACCCCAUAGACACACAAGUUGAUCUACGGAUCGUUCCUUAGCCGUGUGCGGUGCCCCCCUCCACCAUAUUCCACCUCGAUCAUAUCGUCGCGGAGUUUAGGCGAAGCCCUGCGCCGGUAGAACAUCAUCAUCGUCACCAUGCUGUCGUGCUGACGGAACUCAUCCCCGAAGCUUUGCUGGAUCGGAGCCCGAGGAUCAUCAUCAAGCUGAACGUGUGCUGAACUCGGAGGUUCCGUACGUUCGGUACUUGGAUCGGUAGGAUCGUGAAGACGUACGACUACAUCAACCGCGUUGUGCUAACGCUUCCGCUUAUGGUCUACGGGGGUACAUAGACGACACUCUCCCCUCUCAUUGCUAUGCCAUCACCAUGAUCUUGCGUGUGCGUAGGAAUUUUUUUUGAAAUUACCACGUUCCCCAACAGUGGCAUCCGAGCCAGGUUUUAUGCGUAGAUGUCAUAUGCACGAGUAGAACACAAGUGAGUUGUGGGCGAUAUAAGUCAUACUGCUUACCAGCAUGUCAUACUUUGGUUCAGCGGCAUUGUGAGAUGAAGCGGCCCGGACCGACAUUACGCGUACGCUUACGCGAGACUGGUUUCACCAUUACGAGCACUCUUGCUUAAAGGUGGCUGGCAGGUGUCUGUCUCUCUCACUUUAGUUGAACCGAGUGUGGCUACGCCCGGUCCUUGCGAAGGUUAAAACAGCACUAACUUGACGAACUAUCAUUGUGGUUUUGAUGCGUAGGUAAGAACGGUUCUUGCUCAGCCCGUAGCAGCCACGUAAAAUUUGCAACAACAAAGUAGAGGACGUCUAACUUGUUUUUGCAGGGCAUGUUGUGAUGUGAUAUGGUCAAGACGUGAUGCUAUAUUUUAUUGUAUGAGAUGAUCAUGUUUUGUAACCGAAGUUAUCGGCAACUGGCAGGAGCCAUAUGGUUGUCGCUUUAUUGUAUGAAAUGCAAACGCCCUGUAAUUGCUUUACUUUAUCACUAAGCGGUAGCGAUAGUCAUAGAAGUAAUAGAUUGCGUAAACGACAACGAUGCUACGAUGGAGAUCAAGGUGUCGCGCCGGUGACGAUGGUGAUCACGACGGUGCUUCGAAGAUGGAGAUCACAAGCACAAGAUGAUGAUGGCCAUAUCAUAUCACUUAUAUUGAUUGCAUGUGAUGUUUAUCCUUUAUGCAUCUUAUCUUGCUUUGAUUGACGGUAGCAUUUUAAGAUGAUCUCUCACUUAAAUUAUCAAGAAGUGUUCUCCCUGAGUAUGCACCGUUGCCAAAGUUCGUCGUGCCCAGACACCACGUGAUGAUCGGGUGUGAUAAGCUCUACGUCCAUCUACAACGGGUGCAAGCCAGUUUUUGCACACGUAGAAUACUCAGGUUAAACUUGACGAGCCUAGCAUAUGCAGAUAUGGCCUCGGAACACGGAGACCGAAAGGUCCAGCGUGAAUCAUAUAGUAGAUAUGAUCAACAUAAUGAUGUUCACCAUUGAAAAUUACUCCAUCUCACGUGAUGAUCGGUUAUGGUUUAGUUGAUUUGGAUCACGUGAUCACUUAGAUGACUAGAGAGAUGUCUGUCUAAGUGAGAGUUCUUAAGUAAUAUGAUUAAUUGAACUUAAAUUUAUCAUGAACUUAGUACCUGAUAGUAUUUUUGCUUAUCUAUGUUUGAUUGUAGAUAGAUGGCUCGUGUUGUUGUUCCGUUGAAUUUUAAUGCAUUCCUUGAGAAAGCAAAGUUGAAAGAUGAUGGUAGCAAUUACACGGACUGGGUCCGUAACUUGAGGAUUAUCCUCAUUGCUGCACAGAAGAAUUACAUCCUGGAAGCACCGCUGGGUGCCAGGCCUGCUGCUGAUGCAACUGACGACGUUAAGAACGUCUGGCAGAGCAAAGCUGAUGACUACUCAAUAGUUCAGUGUGCCAUGCUUCACGGCUUAGAACCGGGUCUUCAACGACGUUUUGAACGUCAUGGAGCAUAUGAGAUGUUCCAGGAGUUGAAGUUAAUAUUUCAAGCAAAUGCCCAGAUUGAGAGAUAUGAAGUCUCCAAUAAGUUCUAUAGCUGCAAGAUGGAGGAGAAUAGUUCUGUCAGUGAACACAUACUCAAAAUGUCUGGGUAUAAUAAUCACUUGAUUCAACUGGGAGUUAAUCUUCCUGAUGAUAGUGUCAUUGACAGAAUUCUCCAAUCACUGCCACCAAGCUACAAGAGCUUCGUGAUGAACUAUAAUAUGCAAGGGAUGAACAAGACAAUUCCCGAGCUCUUCGCAAUGCUAAAAGCUGCGGAAGUAGAAGUCAAGAAGGAGCAUCAAGUGUUGAUGGUUAACAAGACCACUAGUUUCAAGAAAAAGGGCAAAGGGAAGAAGAAGGGGAACUUCAAGAAGAACAGCAAGCAAGUUGCUGCUCAAGAGAAGAAACCCAAGUCUGGACCUAAGCCUGAAACUGAGUGCUUCUACAGCAAGCAGACUGGACACAGGAAGCGGAACUGCCCCAAGUAUUUGGAGGAUAAGAAGGAUGGCAAGGUGAACAAAGGUAUAUGUGAUAUACAUGUUAUUGAUGUGUACCUUACUAGAGCUCGCAGUAGCACCUGGGUAUUUGAUACUGGUUCUGUUGCUAACAUUUGCAACUCGAAACAGGGACUACAGAAUAAGCGAGCACUGGCCAAGGAUGAGGUGACGAUGCGCGUAGGAAAUGGUUUCAAAGUCGAUGUGAUCGCAGUCGGCACGCUAUCUCUACAUCUACCUUCGGGAUUAGUUUUAGACCUGAAUAAUUGUUAUUUGGUGCCAGCGUUGAGCAUGAACAUUAUAUCUGGAUCUUGUUUGAUGCGAGAUGGUUAUUCAUUUAAAUCAGAGAAUAAUGGUUGUUCUAUUUAUAUGAGUAAUAUCUUUUAUGGUCAUGCACCCUUGAAGAGUGGUCUAUUUUUGUUGAAUCUCGAUAGUAGUAAUACACAUAUUCAUAAUGUCGAAGCCAAAAGAGGCAAAGUUAAUAAUGAUAGUGCAACUUAUUUGUGGCACUGCCGUUUAGGUCAUAUCGAUGUAAAACGCAUGAAGAAACUCCAUACUGAUGGACUUUUGGAAUCACUUGAUUAUGAAUCACUUGGUACUUGCGAACCGUGCCUCAUGGGCAAGAUGACUAAAACACCGUUCUCCGGUACUAUGGAGAGAGCAACAGAUUUAUUGGAAAUCAUACAUACAGAUGUAUGUGGUCCGAUGAAUGUUGAAGCCCGUGGCGGAUAUCGUUAUUUUCUCACCUUCACAGAUGAUUUAAGCAGAUAUGGGUAUAUCUACUUAAUGAAACACAAGUCUGAAACAUUUGAAAAGUUCAAAGAAUUUCAGAGUGAAGUAGAAAAUCAUCGUAACAAGAAAAUAAAAUUCCUACGAUCUGAUCGUGGAGGAGAAUAUUUGAGUUACAAGUUUGGUUUACAUUUGAAACAAUGCGAAAUAGUUUCGCAACUCACGCCACCCGGAACACCACAACGAAAUGGUGUGUCCGAACGUCGUAAUCGUACUUUACUAGAUAUGGUGCGAUCUAUGAUGUCUCUUACGGAUUUACCGCUAUCAUUCUGGGGUUAUGCUUUAGAGACGGCCGCAUUCACGUUAAAUAGGGCACCAUCAAAAUCCGUUGAGACGACGCCUUAUGGACUGUGGUUUGGCAAGAAACCAAAGUUGUCAUUUCUUAAAGUUUGGGGCUGCGAUGCUUAUGUGAAGAAACUUCAACCAGAUAAGCUCGAACCUAAAUCGGAGAAAUGUGUCUUCAUAGGAUACCCGAAAAGGACAGUUGGGUAUACCUUCUAUCACAGAUCCGAAGGCAAGACAUUCGUUGCUAAGAAUGGAUCCUUUCUAGAGAAGGAGUUUCUUUCGAAAGAAGUGAGUGGGAGGAAAGUAGAACUUGAUGAGGUAACUAUACCUGCUCCCUUAUUGGAAAGUAGUUCAUCAUAGAAACCGGUUCCUGUGACACCUACACCAAUUAGUGAGGAAGCUAAUGAUAUUGAUCAUGAAACUUCAGAUCAAGUUUCUACUGAACUUUGAAGGUCUACCAGAGUAGAUUCGCACCAGAGUGGUAUGGUAAUCCUAUUCUGGAAGGCAUGUUACUUGACCAUGACGAACCUAUGAACUAUGAGGAAGCGAUGAUGAGCCCAGAUUCCGCAAAAUGGCUAGAAGCCAUGAAAUCUGAGAUAGGAUCCAUGUAUGAAAACAAAGUAUGGACUUUGGUUGACUUGCCCGAUGAUCGGCAAGCCAUUGAGAAUAAAUGGAUCUUUAAGAAGAAGACUGACGCUGAUGGUAAUGUAACUGUCUAUAAAGCUCGACUUGUUGCAAAAGGUUUUCGACAAGUUCAAGGGGUUGACUACGAUGAGACUUUCUCACCUGUAGCGAUGCUUAAGUCUGUCCGAAUCAUGUUAGCUAUUGCUGCAUUUCAUGUUUAUGAAAUUUGGAAAAUGGAUGUUAAAACUGCAUUCUUGAAUGGAUUUCUGGAAGAAGAGUUGUAUAUGAUGCAACUAGAAGGUUUUGUUGAUCCAAAAAGUGCUAACAAAGUGUGCAAACUCCAGCGAUCCAUUUAUGGACUGGUGCAAGCAUCUCGGAGUUGGAAUAAACGCUUUGAUAGUGUGAUCAAAGCAUAUGGUUUUAUACAGACUUUUGGAGAAGCCUGUAUUUACAAGAAAGUGAGUGGGAGCUCUAUAGCAUUUCUAAUAUUAUAUGUAGAUGACAUAUUAUUAAUUGGAAAUGAUAUAGAAUUUCUGGAUAGCAUAAAAGGAUACUUGAAUAAAAGUUUUUCAAUGAAAGACCUCGGUGAAGCUGCUUACAUAUUGGGCAUCAAGAUUUAUAGAGAUAGAUCAAGACGCUUAAUAGGACUUUCACAAAGCACAUACCUUGAUAAAAUUUUGAAGAAGUUCAAAAUGGAUCAGGCAAAGAAAGGGUUCUUGCCCGUGUUACAAGGUGUGAAGUUGAGUCAAACUCAAUGCCCGACCACUGCAGAAGAUAGAGAGAAAAUGAAAGAUGUUCCCUAUGCUUCAGCCAUAGGCUCUAUCAUGUAUGCAAUGCUAUGUACCAGACCUGAUGUAUGCUUAGCAAUAAGCUUGGCAGGAAGGUACCAAAGUAAUCCAGGAGUGGAUCACUGGACAGCGGUCAAGAACAUCCUGAAACACCUGAAAAGGACUAAGGAUAUGUUUCUCAUAUAUGGAGGUGACAAAGAGCUAGUCGUAAAUGGUUACGUUGAUGCAAGCUUUGACACUGAUCCGGACGAUUCUAAAUCGCAAACCGGAUACGUGUUUUUAUUAAACGGUGGAGCUGUAAGUUGGUGCAGUUCUAAACAAAGCGUCGUGGCGGGAUCUACAUGUGAAGCGGAGUACAUAGCUGCUUCGGAAGCAGCAAAUGAAGGAGUCUGGAUGAAGGAGUUCAUUACCGAUCUAGGUGUCAUACCUAGUGCAUCGGGACCAAUGAAGAUCUUCUGUGACAAUACUGGUGCAAUUGCCUUGGCAAAGGAAUCCAGAUUUCACAAGAGGACCAAGCACAUCAAGAGACGCUUCAAUUCCAUCCGGGACCAAGUCCAAGUGGGAGACAUAGAGAUUUGCAAGAUACAUACAGAUCUGAAUAUUGCAGACCCGUUGACUAAGCCUCUCUCACGAGCAAAACAUGAUCAGCACCAAGACUCCAUGGGUGUUAGAAUCAUUACUAUGUAAUCUAGAUUAUUGACUCUAGUGCAAGUGGGAGACUAAAGGAAAUAUGCCCUAGAGGCAAUAAUAAAGUUAUUAUUUAUUUCCUCGUAUCAUGAUAAAUGUUUAUUAUUCAUGCUAGAAUUGUAUUAACCGGAAACAUAAUACAUGUGUGAAUACAUAGACAAACAUAUAGUCACUAGUAUGCCUCUACUUGACUAGCUCAUUAAUCAAAGAUGGUUAUGUUUCCUAACCAUAGACAUGUGUUGUCAUUUGAUUAACGGGAUCACAUCAUUAGGAGAAUGAUGUGAUUGACAUGACCCAUUCCGUUAGCCUAGCACUUGAUCGUUUAGUAUAUUGCUAUUGCUUUCUUCAUGACUUAUACAUGUUCCUGUAACUAUGAGAUUAUGCAACUCCCGUUUACCGGAGGAACACUUUGGAUACUACCAAACGUCACAACAUAACUGGGUGAUUAUAAAGGAGUACUACAGGUGUCUCCGAAGGUACAUGUUGGGUUGGCGUAUUUCGAGAUUAGGUUUUGUCACUCCGAUUGUUGGAGAGGUAUCUCUAGGCCCUCUCGGUAAUGCACAUCACUAUAAGCCUUGCAAGCAAUGUAGCUAAUGAGUUAGUUACGAGAUGAUGCAUUACGUAACGAGUAAAGAGACUUGUCGGUAACGAGAUUGAACUAGGUAUUGGAUACCGACGAUCAAAUCUCGGGCAAGUAACAUACCGAUGACAAAGGGAACAACGUAUGUUGUUAUGCGGUUUGACCGAUAAAGAUCUUUGUAGAAUAUGUAGGAACCAAUAUGCGCAUCCAGGUUUCGCUAUUGGUUAUUGACCGAGAAUAGUUCUAGGUCAUGUCUACAUAGUUCUCGAACCCGUAGGGUCCGCACGCUUAAAGUUACGAUGACAGUUUUAUUAUGAGUUUAUAAGUUUUGAUGUACCGAAGUUUGUUCGGAGUCCCGGAUGUGAUCACGGACAUGACGAGGAGUCUCAAAAUGGCCGAGACAUAAAGAUUGAUAUAUUGGAAGCCUAUGUUUGGACAUCGGAAUCGUUCCGGGUGAAAUCGGCAUUUUACCGGAGCACCGGGAGGUUACCGGAACCCCCCGGGGGGUUAUUGGGCCUACAUGGGCCUCGGGUGAGAAGAGGGAAGGAGGCAGGAGGGGGCCGCGUGCCUCUCCCCUUCCUAGUCCGAAUAGGACAAGGGAAGGGGGGCGGCGCCCCCCCUUUCCUUCCCCUCUUCCUCCUCUUUCCCCCUUCUCCUAUUCCAACUAGGAAAGAAGGGAGUCCUACUCCCGGUGGGAGUAGGACUCCCCCCUUGGCGCGCCCUCCUUGGCCGGCCGCCUCCUCCCCCUGGCUCCUUUAUAUACGGGGGCGGGGGGCACCCCAUAGACACACAAGUUGAUCUACGGAUCGUUCCUUAGCCGUGUGCGGUGCCCCCCUCCACCAUAUUCCACCUCGAUCAUAUCGUCGCGGAGUUUAGGCGAAGCCCUGCGCCGGUAGAACAUCAUCAUCGUCACCACGCCAUCGUGCUGACGGAACUCAUCCCCGAAGCUUUGCUAGAUCGGAGCCCGGGGAUCAUCAUCGAUCUGAACGUGUGCUGAACUCGGAGGUGCCGUACGUUCAGUACUUGGAUCGGUCAGAUCGUGAAGACGUACGACUACAUCAACCGCGUUGUGCUAACGCUUCCACUUACGGUCUACGAGGGCACGUAGACAACACUCUCCCCUCUCAUUGCUAUGCCAUCACCAUGAUCUUGCGUGUGCGUAGGAAAUUUUUUGAAAUUACCAUGUUACCCAAUAGAUUCUUGAUAGGCUUGGCUUCAAUCCACUUAGUGAACUUGUCGACUGCCACCAGUACAUGGGUGAAACCGCUCCUGCCAGUUCUCAGUGGUCCAACCAUAUCCAAUCCCCAGACGGCGAAGGGCCAGAUGAGUGGAACGGUCUUCAAGGCUGAGGCGGGUUUGUGUGACAUAUUGGAAUAGAACCGACAUCCUUAACACUUGUCAACUAUCUCCUUCGCCAUUUCAUUUACUCUUGGCCAGUAAAACUCCGCUCGGUAUGCUUUAGCCACAAUGGUCCGAGAGGACGCAUGAUGAGCACAGGUCCCCGAGUGGAUAUCGUCAAGAAUUAUAUGACCUUCUUCUGGUGUUAUACAUUUCUGACUGACUCCAGUCGCGCUUUCCCUGUACAACUGUCCCUUUAUCACAGUAAAGGCCUUGGAUCAACGGACGAUCUGUCGAGCCUCUUCUUCAUUCUCUGGGAGCUCUUUCCUUAGGAUAUGCGCGAUGUACGGCACUGUCCAGUCGGGAGUGAUGACCAAAACUUCCAUGAUCAGGUCGACCACAGCUGGGACCUCAACUUCAGUCGGAUUCGUGACACUUUUUGGCUGCGGGGCUUCUUCGGUGAAAGGAUCCUCUUGAACUGAUGGUGUGUGGAUGUGUUCCAAAAACACAUUACUGGGAAUGGCUUCUCUCUUGGAACCUAUUUUUGCCAAAUCAUCAGCCGCUUGAUUUUUCAGUCGGGGUAUAUGAUGAAGCUCUAACCCCUCGAAUUUCUUCUCUAGCUUUCUCACUGCAUUGCAGUAACCAGUCAUGGCUAGACUUCUGACGUCCCACUCCUUCAUCACUUAGUUAACCACCAAAUCUGAGUCGCCAUAGACCAUGAGGCGACGGACGCCGAGUGAAAUGGCCAUACGCAACCCAUACAAAAGUGCUUCGUAUUCUACUUCGUUAUUGGAGGAAUCAAAGUGAAUCUAGAGCACAUAUCUGAGCUUAUCUCCUCGGGGGGACACCAACACUACCCAGCGCUGGAACCAUUUAGCAUCUUAGAACCAUCAAAGAACAUGGUCCAGUGCUCCGAGUGAACUUGAGUCGGCAGUUGUUGUUCAUUCCACUCGGCGAUGAAAUCUGCUAUUGCUUGGGACUUGAUGGCUUUCUUUGCCUCAAACUUGAUAUCUAGGGGAAGGAGUUCAAUCGCCCAUUUUGCCACUCGACCAGUUGCAUCUUUGUUGUGCAGAAUCUCUGACAAUGGAGCGUCGCUGACGACUGUAAUGGAAUGGUCAGAGAAGUAAUGAGCAACCUUCUUCGUGGUCAUAUAAAUCCCAUAUACAAGCUUCUGAUAAUGAGGGUAUCUUUGCUUUGAUGGGGUCAAAACUUCUGAAACAUAAUAUACUGGGCGCUGAACUUUAAAGCCUUUUCCUUCUUCUUCCCGCUCGACCGUAAGUACUGUACUGACAACUUGUUCCGUGGCUGCAAUGUAAAGCAGCAAAGGCUCUUUGCUGAUUGGGGCAGCAAGCACCGGCUGGGUGGAGAGCAGGGCUUUUAGCUCUGCAAACGCUGCAUCAGCUUCAGGAGUCCACUCGAACUUGUCUGACUUAUUCAUCAGUCGGUAAAGAGGCAAUGCCUUUUCGCCGAGACGAGAGAUGAAUCGACUUAAAGCGGCCAAGCAACCAGUAAGCUUCUGGACAUCGUGCACCCGCACAGGACGUUUCAUUCGGAGUAUAGUACCAACUUUUUCUGGAUUGGCGUCGAUUCCUCGUUCGGAAACGAGAAAACCGAGUAACUUUCCGCCAGGAACUCCGAAUGUGCACUUUGAUGGAUUAAGCUUGAUAUCAUACCUCCUGAGGUUGGCAAAUGUCUCAGGAAGGUCAGUCAGCAGGUCGGAACCUUUCCGUGACUUGACCACAAUAUCAUCCAUGUAUGCUUCCACAUUCCGACUGAUUUGAGUGAGGAAACACUUCUGAAUCAUCCUCAUGAACGUGGCUCCAGCAUUCUUCAGGCCGAAUGGCAUGGUGACAUAACAGAAGCACCCGAAUGGAGUGAUGAAAGCUGUUUUGAUCUCAUCGGGUCCAUACAAACGGAUUUGAUGGUAACCGGAAUAGGCGUCUAAAAAGACAGGCGCUCACAUCCUGCAGUCGAGUUGACUAUUUGGUCGAUGCGGGGGAGAGGAAAAUGAUCUUUCGGGCAGGCCCGAUUGAUAUGUUUGAAGUCGAUGCAUAUGUGAAGUGACUUGUCCUUCUUGGGGACCAUGACAACAUUGGCGAGCCACUCAGACUGAUAAAUCUCUCGGAUAAACUCCGCUGCUAAGAGCCGAGCCACCUCCUCGCCAAUGGCCUUUCUUUUCUAGACGGCGGACCAUCGAAGAUGUUCUUUGACAGGUUUCACUUUUGAGUCGACUCGUAGACGGUGCUCAGCCAGCCCCCUGGGAACACCCGGCAUGUCAGAAGGCUUCCAUGCAAAGAUGUCCUAGUUCUCACGGAGGAACUGGAUGAGCGCUUCUUCCUAUUUGGAGUCGAGUGUUGUAGAGAUAUGAGUCGGAGCAGCACUGGGGUCGGUCGGGUGAAUGUGAAUCAGUUUUGUCUCACCGGACGACUGAAACGCUGAUUCCGUAGCGGGCUUCAUGGCUCGCAACAAAUCACUCGGGUCUGCAGUUUUCUGGUAUUCCUGCAGCUCUACCACUGCCAUCUGAGCAUCGGCGAUCUUUGAGCCUUUCUAAAAGCACUCUUCAGCCUUCUUCCGAUUGCCAGUAAUAGUGAUCACACCUUUGGGACCAGGCAUCUUCAAUUUGAGGAACACAUAACAUGGUCGAGCCAUGAAACGUGCAUAAGCUGGCCUGUCCAAAAUAGCGUGAUAAGCACUCUGGAAAUCCACAACUUCAAACGUCAACUUUUCUUUGCGGUAAUUCUUGGAAUCACCGAAAACCACAUCAAGAGCAAUUUGGCCGAGUGACUCGGCCUUCUUUCCAGGAAUGACCCCAUGGAAACUCAUGUUGCUGGUACUGAGUCUGGACAUCGGAAUACCCAUCCCUUUCAACAUCUCUGCAUAUAAUAUAUUCAGGCCACUGUCACCAUCCAUCAAAACUUUAGUCAGUCGAGUGCCUUCGACGACUGGGUCGACCACCAAAGCUUGCCUCCUAGGGGUGGCUAUGUGUGUCGGAUGAUCGGACUGGUCGAAUGUGAUGGCAGUAUGAGACCAUUUCAGAUAACUGGGUGUCGCUGGAGCAACCAUAUUCACUUCUAGGUUGAUAACUUUUAAUCAACUUUUGCUUUCAACAUCAGCAAAAAUCAUCAAGGUGGAAUUGACCUGGGGAUAUCCAUCAUCACUAUCUUCUUUGUCCUCGACUUUGUCUGACUCAUUUUUCUUAUCUUUGGGUUGUUUCCCCUGGAAUUGCUGGAUCAAGAGCCGACACUAUCGAGUGGUAUGUUUCAGGUAAAUGAGUUUACCCUCCUCACCUUUCUUCGUGUGGAUGUGGCACGGCAAAUCCAUCACGUCAUUCCCUUCCUUGUCCUUCACCUUCUUAGGGUUCCAAGACCCUUUGGGAUUCCCUUUAAACUUUCCUUGAGCCACGGCCAAGGCUUCUCCAGGAGCAGCUGGCUCAGCUUUCCGCUUCUGCUUCCGACUGGAGUUCCCUCCUCCGGUUUCGUGGGCAACCGACUUGUGCUUGCCACUCCGGAGCCGAUCCUCUUCUUCACCAUUGGCAUACUUGGUGGCAAUCUCCAUCAUUCGACUCAGAGACAUGUCUCCGGUUCGACCGAAAUUUAGGUUUAGCUCUCUGUACUUAACGCCUUCCUUGAAGGCACAGACUGCCUGGUGAUCAGAUACAUUCUCUACCGUGUGAUGCAACGUGAUCCAUCUCUCGAUGUAAUCCCUCAAAGUUUCAUUCGACUUCUGCACACAAGAUUGCAGCUCUGUCCACCCUGCUGGUCGCUUGCAAGUUCCUUCAAAUGUUCUGACAAACACUCGAGCAAGAUCUUCCCAAGUGUAAAUGCCGCUGGGUGCUAACUGAUUCAACCAUGCUCUGGCCGAGCCCUCCAACAUAAGAGGCAGGUGUUUCAUGGCCACUUCAUCGUUGCCGCGGUCAAUCUGAACAGCCACUCUGUAAUCUUCAAGCCAAGUAUCUGGCUUGGACUCACUAGUGAACUUACUGACUCCAGUCGCCAACCUGAAGUUGGGAGGAAUCACCGCGGCCCUGAUGGCUCUGCUGAAACACUCUGGUCCUGAGACGUGUACUCUGCUGCUGGUAGGUACAUCUCUGUCAUGACCUUCUUGGUGGGCUCUGUUCCUGUCUACCAAACCUUGAACGAUAACGGAUCUCGCAUCAAAGCCUGGUUCCCUGGGGUCGACUGGAAUCCUUCGCCCAACAAUGUGAUGGCGUCUGUCAUCCUGUUGUCGAGGCGCGUACGAUCCACUCCUUGGGGGAGGGAUGGGCAAUCGACGUCGAUCAUCACGAUCGAGUCGGUGAUCAUACUGCUCAUGGUCCUUGUACUGAUCACGCCGGUCUCCACGUCCCUCACGCCUCGGGAGUGAUCUUGGGCUAUGGGCCGACUGGACUGUAUUUGCAGCGAUGGAUCUGCUGUGAAUCCUAUUCCGCGACUGCGAUACAGCUGAAUUUUGAUCUCCUGCCACCCGGAGUAAUGCUCUGAUCUGUAACAAGUCUCUGCCAGCCUCUGACUGGGAAGGCUGAAUCGACUCUGCUAUACGGGCUGCAGCUGCUAAAUUCUGAAUCAGAGUUCGAUAUACCUGAGUCGGUGGUGGAAAGAGUUGACGUCGACUGGAUUCCGGAACCCGUUGUCACGCACGCUCGUCGAGUGCUCGCUGGAUGUUCUCCAGUCGAGUGCGCUCAGCCAAGUUGUUCAAGCGCGCGUCCUCUAAGGCACGAGCCUCGGGGGUUUCUCCAACGAUAGGAGUGUGCAGCGCAUCCAUGUUCCGGCGGCGAAGUUCUUCCCUCUGCAGCGAAGUGAGGGGCUCGGGGAGAUACUCUUCAUGGGCAUGCGAUGGAUCGCUUCCGCCGUCGCCUCCGUUGGUGCGGUGAAAACCGGGAGGACUGCGUGGUCCAUCGACCAUCAGAACCUCCACCGCUGGAUCACUGAUGUCGCACUCGGAUGCAGUCUUUGCGGAGCCAGUCGACAGGUCGAACAGGCCGUAGAGAGAUUUGUCGGGCUCGAUCGCCGCGACUUGGCGGGUGGCCGACUGGCGAGCCACCGCGUGCCUCACCCACCGCUGAAGCCUCGACCGACCGGAGCGCUUGCGCCGGCGGGAAACAUGGAGAGAGGACGACACAGGAGCCGACCGAUACGGGGUCGACGGUUGCCGCAGGAGGACGCCGCGGACGCACGCGCGAAAGUGCGUCGCCCCGCGGAUAGGGAGCGCGUCGAUGUCGAGUGGAGCCUCCUGAAGCCAAGCGGAGUCGUCGGCGAUGAACGUGAGCGCUCCGAGACGGAUCUCGCGGCCCUCAACCAGAGCUCCGCAUGAAACCAUGAUGAAGGAGAUCGGAAAAAUCGCAACUUCUCCAAUAAGUCACUAAGAUACCUGCCCCACGGUGGGCGUCAACUGUCGUGGUUCUAAGUCUGACAGUAGUGUAGGGGGGUAGGAAUGGAGAGGCAAGAUCCUAGCUAUGGAGUAGUUGUAUACGCAAGAGAUUUACGAGUUCAGUCCCUUCUCGGAGGAAGUAACGGCCCUACGUCUCAGAGCCCGGAGGCGGUCGACUGAAUUAUGCGUGUAUGAGUUACAGGGGUGCGAACCCUUUACACUGAGGAGGGGGGUGUCUUAUAUAGAGUUCGCCAGACCCCUCCGGCCCUCAGUUAUGUAGGGUUUAAGGUACAUUAAGAUCGGGCGUUACUGGUAACGCCACAAAUAAAGUGCUAUGAUGAUCAUAAGAGCUACUUAAUGACCGGCCGAUUGUGUGCAGAGCGACUUUAGAUCUCCUGGCUGUCGAGUGGUUGGCUUCAUGGUCGAGUGUCUUCGAGUUCGUCGAGUGAAACACUUCUAGUAGAUUGAAAGGUGGUUUCUUCUAGAGAUGUCCUUAAAGAGGGUAGUUUGGACAGGUCCAUGAUCCUACCCUAGAUAUACAGCUUCAUCACCGCCAGAUUGUAUUCUCGAGACCAUUUCGGACAAGAUUCCUAGCUACGUUUACGUAAUAAAGCGGCGGCAUUCAUCCUAAAAAAGAAUGGGAAGGCGCAGCAUACAAUGCCGAGUGUCGACACUGCCAUCCACGACUAUUUCGAACCUGAAGUUUCUUUCCUGAACCCACUGUUCCACUAUAGCCAAGAGAAGAAAUUUCCACACCAAGAUGCGGAAAAUUGCACCAGCCGAUACAUAAAGGAGUCUAUAAGAACACACCAGACUAUCUGGAAUUCAUUCACCGUCCCGCCAAGUUUCCAACAUUAAGAGCAUCUACAGCUGCGACGGGCAAAUCCGGCCCCUCAAACGCCCACGGACGCGCCGCAGACAUAACCGAUCACACCUCAAAUGAUGUAAUCCACAUCCAGAUACAUUAAAUCCAUAUUAUUACAUGCAACGUAGCGAUCUUUAAGCAGAGCUUGUCCGAUCACCGUGGUCAUGUUCGCCGGCCGGCUGUCAACGUAUGCUCCGCACAUGGUUGGUUCGAUCGCUGUCAAGGUAGCGUAGGGCAUGGGACACGAGCCGGCUCAUGGGACUCAAGGCGUUGUCAUUUCCCAUGCCCUACUCUUACUCGUCGGAGCCCAAAACCAAUUGGGUGCCGGUGGACAAUAGAUCGAUGAUUGAUCCGGCCCGGGCAGUGGCGAAGCCACUCAUCAGCUUGACUACCCAGCUUUUUGAUGAAACUAGUAUAUGCUUGUAAAAAUGUUGAAUUUUUUUGUUCAAAUUUGCAUACUUGACUACACAAUUUGAAAAUGACUACACAAGACUGCAGUUCUGGCACCGCCACUGGUCCCAGGACAAGCCGGCGACAUCCACCACGACGCGGUUGCGGCGUCCGAACUGGUGCACCAUACCGGGCGCCGGAGAAUGCGACUCUGUUUCACUGACAUCCACCACCACGAGGGCUGCUGCCGCCUCCACGCCCGCUGCCUCGUACGACGGGCAGGUCGCGCCAUGUUUGCGUCGGACGACGCCCUCGGUGCGUCCAUGGCCUCGCGCACCAACGGACCGCAUCACCUUCGGUGAGGCAGCGACGGCUGCCGUAGCGCCAGAUCCAUGCACCAUUUGGGCGGGCGCAAUGAAUUCCCGACAGAAGGAGUCCGAGCGCUGCCGUGUAUGGGCCUCCUCCCAGGAGCGGCGGAGCGCAAGCCGGAUGGCCAUAUCCUACUCGAGGCCGCAUGGGAUGAGCUCGGGGUCGACGAAUCUGGAGGUGAAGGACUCGGAUCCGCUGCCACCAUGCUGGAGACCGCCGGAGACGAGGUUGGGGGUAGCGAAGGGGAGUGAAGUGAAGUGGCUACGGCUUGGUCCGGUGAGCGGAUUGGGAGGAAUAUAUGUGGGUUCGGGUGAACCAGCGUGGGUCGGGUCCAACGUGACGGGCGCGCCCGAGCAUCCUCAUAUCCCUCCUAUAUUUGAGCUGGAUAUGAGGGGUGCCGGUUAGUUCGGUCAUUUAUAGCCCAUUUGAGUCACCCGGCAGAUCAAAAUUUCGUGACCCGUCAAUGACCACUCACACAGACGUUUAAGAAGGGUUUGGGAUGUCCGGCUGUAGAUGCUCUGACGCAUCAACACAAACAAGUCAACCACAAGACUAGAAUAUUACUACUAGUUCCAACACGCAAAGUUUGAUCAAAUGAAUGAGCACGAAGACAAUACGACCAAACUAUCAGAGAUUCGAGUCCAGUCGAGACAAAAAGUUUAGCAAUAUAUCAUGUUAAACCUUGUAUUUUGAGCAGAAACGCGGAAAAAAAAGAACUGAAGAAAUACAAGGACGUGCUACAAAAGAACUCUGGUUUCAUCGUACCCCCUCCGACGCUCUACAAAUCGAACCCACCGUCGGCGUCGAACCCUCCGGCCGAGUCGGAGAUCACGCCGGCAAUAUUCUCACACCAGAACACGCCCAGCCUACUUCAUCAUCCCAAACUUGCGGAGGUAGUACUCGUGCUCAUCAUCCGAGUCGGGCGACGCGUCGCCGGUGCGUUGCACAGGGAGGCAGACCUGGUUCUUGUUGUUCGGGUCAUACUUCUGGUCAGGGAAGCGAGCCUCCUCCUCCAUGAAGAUAUCCCACCGCGCCACAAUCCUGGCCAUGAUUGUGUCACUGUCUUCUUCGGCGUCCGAGUCGUGGUACACCUUGUCGUAGGGCACAUCGUCGUCGUCCGAGCCGCAGCAGCAGGCCUUGACGACUCCCGCCUCCUUCGCCGCCUCCGCCUUGGCCCUGCG
rnacentral:lncRNA from 1 species